rnacentral:lncRNA from 1 species
AAGGAUUGGUUCUCCCGCAGUAUGGGUUGCUUAUUUUAUUCCUAACUUUUAUAGUGAGUGUUAUGCCUCAUAACUGCUCAGAAACUAGCAAUUAGGCCUGUGCUACACACUGAUAAGUGAAUUCCAUUACAGCUUGAAAGUGCAGCAUAGUAGUCAUGUUAUUAUUAAACCUUAGUUGUUUCAACGAUGUUCAAGAAUUUAAAAAAAAAAAAAAAAAUCUCCCUUAACUUUGAAUAAAUGACAAUGCUUCUAGUCCUCGCUCUCUCUCUCUUUAUUAUUUUUUUUUGGGGGGUUGUUGGGGGGGGGGGGGGGGGGGGGAAUUUAAAAGAUUUCUCACACCGGUUUUCUAAACACAGGCCAUUCUGAGUAUACAAAAUUUUGCAUAUGCUGAUAUGCAAAUCCCUCUGUUAUAAGUGAGCAGUUUUUGUGGUCACAAAAUGAUCACGACACAGAGAUAAGAAUUGAUUAGUGGCUGCAGAAUUCUCGUACAAUAAAAUUGAAAUUCAUCGUGACAUCCUCGUCGGAAGGAUGCUAAAGCCUAGUAAAAGUAGAAUUUGAUUGGGAAUUUUCUACUUUAUUGGUUGGGAUAGUUUCAGAGAGCAUGUUAAAUGCUUUUUACGUUUCCUUUUUGUUGUCUUUUCUAUUUUACCUCAUUCGGUACUUCUAUUUGCACUUUCAAGUCUCUUUUUACUUCUUAAAUUGAUCACUAUUCUUCGGGAAUACUUUUUAGGGACUUUGUAUUUCCGAUUGCAUAUUUGAACUUAUUGAAUUUCUUUAUGUUUAAUUUGAUUGGGUUAGGUUGGCCGGAGGAGUCUCUUAUUUCUUUAGAUUGUUUACAUUCUCUCUUUAAUUUGAUCAAAGAAGUCUCUGAUCCCUUAAAAUUAUUCUUGGAGGAGAGAAAUAAAUGAGGGGCUAGCUAUAUCUAGAACCUUGUGAAAUCUAUGAGGGCUGGUCUUUCGGAAGCACAAAUAUUGGACAGAAAUAAGAUGGGCGUAGGUGUCAACAAAUGAAUUGGCCAGAGUUCAAGUUUUUCUAAGCUCUCUCAAAAUGCACCGCAAUCUGUAUAUAGAUUUCUCGUGAAUAGUCAUGUGGUACACAAUGAUAUUGGGUAUGAGUACGAGAAAGGUCCUUGGGCAUCAGUUGCUCGCCAACUACAGAAAAACGCCUCUACCACUCCCUUUCUCAACUGAUUUUGGGUUCUUCGGACCCACUUUGCGAGCGACUAACAAAAGAAUAUUUCUGCCCCCAGACUGAUGAAGCCGUGGAGGAUCCCGUUGAGUAUGAAUCGUCUUCUGAUGGCAGUGGACUCAACGCCAUUGCUACAUCAUCCUGCUCGAUUGAUGUUUAAAGUACCUCUGAACCUUACGAUGACAUAUGCUUAAUUUAUGCCUUAUUUUAUAAUCUAUGUUAACUACGUCUUGUUUCUGGAUUCUUCAGUUUGUAUUAUCCCUUAAUUCUACCUCGUGAAACAUUUAUCUUUCCAUCCCCCCCCCCUCCCCCCCGGGCCCCUUCUUCCUCCUCCGACGACGAAUCUUAUAUAGAAUUGUUCUGGAUAUGAAUUUGAUGGUCUACUACUUAAGUACAAUCUACUGUGGGAGGUGUUCUUGGUUUGGAGCAGACUAGUGGCUAUUUCAUUCGACACGCUUUAAUGGCAUCCGCAAUGUUGACCGUCUUAGAAAUCAUCUGAGCAUCCAACUUGUGACUAAUGCUUUCGAGAAGGUUUUCAUGCAGAAACCCAUUCUUGUCCACUGGUUUUAGCAGGGAAAUACUAGCACUUAAAUUCAGAACACAUAGGAAGACACCUGACAAAAUCAAAUAAACACGGACGUCUUGGCACGAUGAGGUUUGUACCUCUCUGGCUGAGGAAAGUAUAAUGGGCCCUUGUGAGUUUAUGGACAGAUGGUAUCUACGGCGAAUGUUUAGUCAAAAGACUUGACGUUUCGAGCGUCCCACUAGACCUGGCUUCAUUCAGUUGAGUCUUGAAUAUUUAGUGCAUGAUAGUGUUGACCAUCGGUGCGAUCUCCCCAUGUGCGUAUUUCCAGCCUGCGCAAAGAAGGCAGAAGCAGACGGAAUGAUGACGGAAUGACCAUUGGUGCGAUCUCCCCACGGAAUGAUGAAGAUCAGAAAUUCUGAUUUUUGUGUUAUUGUUGAUGUGGUGAACACCAUGGUAACCGGGGAUUAGCUUGUGGACUAAGAGCGUAGGGCCUGGUAAAUUGAUUUUGUGUCCGAGACAUAAUUUGUCUGCGCGAGUUUCAUGCUUGAGACAAAAAGGGAAUGAGCUGCUAAAUCGACCAACGGAUCAUCCGGAGGAUGGGCUGGUACUUCAUUGAAAUAGUGAAAUUGUCUCGGGAAUUGCAUGAUUUCCCUAUAUCCACGAUGAGUCUAUACUUAAAAAGUCAUUCACAAGGACCUGAAAACAGGCAGUGUACUUUCUGGGUGCUAUUAUGAAUCUUAAAUUUACAGACUGGGGAUUGGCAACGGGACGAAGCAGAAAGGACAAGUACAAAUAAUGAUACUUAGAAAGUCUUGUUUCUUAGAAGAUCACUGAUAAACUUUAGGACAGUUUUGAGACAUGACUGUUCGAUAGGGGCUUUUGCUGCCAACAUAUGCCUUGGGUGAUUUAGAGUGAAAUCUGAUGAUUGUGGAUUUGGAUUGCUUUUGUUAGAGAUAGUAGUAAAAAGAAGUAGGAAAUUUAAUUAAAGUCAUCACCGUAACCAUUUUGGACAUUCAAGGAGCAAAUAUAAAAGUCAUGAUUGUUCUUUCUUCUGGUUUGUUAGUUUCUUUGAUUUUGUUAACCCCUGGGGAUUUAUUUUCAAGCUAUAGCUUCUGGUGCUGAUAUUGAGCUGAAUGGGACGGGAUUAAAUGCGAAUAUAGAAGAAAGAACGGUCGACAGAAAUGUGGAAACUUGGAAUCUGGAAGGGAAAUAACCUUGUUUGUAAUGAAAAAACAGACUAAGCGGUCUUCAUUCAGACAUAGCCUUUAUAUGAAGACAAGGAAUGACAUUGUUCUUUCUUUCUUGGAAAUCAUAGUAAUAAUGAUUCCAAAAUUUGCAUUAUCAAAAGACAAACUUUACGAGCACACAUGAAGUCAGACAAAUGAGCAAUCUAUACAUUCGCAGCGUUCAAUAUCGUUUGCAACAAAUCCGAUUGUACGAAAGCGCAUCAUGUCACGGACCAAGGACGUCACGUCAUCAAUCCAAAGGGGCUCAUCAAGACCAUUAGUUUGUAAGGGGAUUUAUUCUUUGCCCUCGGAUUAGUUCGACGGGGAUUGAUGAUCUCAACCAUUAGAUGAGAUCAAUCUCCACCGUUUGACUAAUGUGACGAGGGUCAACAUCCUUCACAAUCAGAUUAAGCACAUUUCUACCAUUGAAUCGAUUAGACGAGAAUUGAUAUCCCUAUCGUUAGAUAAUGUAGAAGACCAACGGUUUGUGAUUAGAGGACUUUUGUAUAAAUAGGGGAGCCCUCUCUCCUUUUGUGUCAUCAACUUCAUUUGAGUAUUACAAGUAUCUCUAGAGCUUCUCUCUCUACUUUCUCUCUCUAGAAAUUCCCUUCAUUGAGUGCGAGAGUGUGAGUGAGAGCAAGGCUUACUUAGACUUGACUAGGCGAUUCAAAACUCUAAGUGCCUUCGCGAUCGAAAGAAUCGUCUUGUGACAAUCGCGCAUUGCAUUCUGAGAAAAUAUAGAAUGGAGUGAUAGUAGGACUUGAUCAAUGACCUGGGAACCAUCUAGGUCAAACUUAAGUUGUAUAUUUUGAUUGCUAAAUCAGAAGAAGGUUGAUGUUAGUCGUAGAAAAAAAAAUAUGCAGAAAUUCUUGCUCUGACUUUAGUCUCUAGACUAGAAGAGAUUCUAAAAUAGUGACGCAUAGCUCGUCUUAAUGUACACGCCACUAUUAAUGGUAAUCUUCUUGAUCUUGUAGGAACCUGAAGAUAGACUUCAUCUGAACCUUUUGCCUUCCCUGAUUUGAAAUAAAAAUGGAUUUAAUUAUGAGGAGCACAAAAGAUCGGUUGAAGUCUUCAAUCAAAUGCAAAAAAUGCCAUUAGCGACGUUUCGCCUUUUCAGCAACUGCUGUGUCGUUAUUGUGAUAAAAAUGACGUGAUAUUGCUUGAUGGUAAUAAUUCAUUUUUACUUUUCCUUUUUGGAUUACUAUUAUGGGAAAUGGAUGUGGAACGUUAACAGACAGAAGCUCCUCCUCAUCCACUGCUAUCUCCCUUCUUCUUUGAUAUUUUCCUACACUUUCUCACUCUCUUUCCCUUUUCCUCCCUUCCCUUUCAAGUUCUUCAUCCAUUGUCGACACGUGACUCCAUAGCUGGGUUCUGCACGGCCUGGCAGGACGUCAAGUGUACCAUGGAUCUCUUUGUGUAUGGUUCCCUAUCGUUCCAUUUCUCUUCUGCACAAGAGAUUUAGACCCUGCUUUUGCAUGUGCAUGGCCGAGCGGGCGUGGUGAGGUAGAUAAGGGAAGAAAAAGAAGUACCGUACAGUCAUCCGAGUGCUGACCGAGCCAACUUGAAAAUAUAGGCUUGCAGGCUUUUGAAUGGGCUCUGGCCUGAGCCAUGAUAGCUUCUGUGAAGCUAGUUGCAAAUUGUUUCGCGUAUACAUGUCAAUAUACGUGAAACAAAUAGGUGCUACUUGAAUCGUUCACUUUUUCAUAUUUUACCUGGAUUUCUGAUCUUUUUAACUACAAAGAAUCACAAAAUAGCGCACACUAAUUUCCAUCUAUUUUUAUCCUUUUUUUCUCCAUGGUUCUAAGAAACCUAUUGUGAGUUGCCACAUUUUUCUUAGGCAAGUGAGUGGACAAACUUAGAUUGAAACAACUAGUCUUCCCCUCCAUUUCAUUAAUUAAUAUCUGUCUUGAAGUCACCAAAAUACAAAUCAUCCUCCUUACAUUUUAUUUAAAUGUCACUUUGAAUCCUUUAUUUCUAAAUUAUCAAUAUUUUGCACCUCGACUUAAAGCUAGAGGAGAAAAACUCCUGCUUUGUCCUUGGUUGCCACCCGCUCUCUCGUAAGUUAAGAUAAAGUGCGUUUGAAUAUGAUAAUGGAUUGAUCUCGCGAGGGAUCAUAGAAGCUCUAAGCCCAGAGGACGACAGGGCAAAAUUUUUCCUCAAAUAGUGUCACAUGUGUUGCCACAUCAUUAACUAACUAAAUCAUAAUAAGCAUAUGGCCGUGCAAUCUAAUGUUCUUUUCUUCUUCUUUUUUCAUUAUUUAACACGCGAAUGAGAGAGGAAUUAUCGUAAAGAAGGUGAGAGAAUUGAGAAUAGAAUACAAGGUUUGGUUGAACUACGCAACUAGCCGCCUUCCAAUUGAUCACACCAUCUAUCCUUAUUGUAUAACGCUACUACCAACUCGUCCACACGAAAUUCUUGGAACCAUAAAUUGUUUUGGCAAAAUCCAAUGAGAAACGAUUCCACCUCCUCAAAAUCACUAGGACACAAGCAAUUCCUUUGUUAAUGACCUGUUUAGUCAUUUUCUUGUUUUCGUCCCGGCUAAACCACUACAUAGUGGUAGGUAUGUAAUAUGAACAAUCCUGUUAACUUUUAGGUUCUUCUUUUUAAGAUUUUUUUUUAAUAGUGAAUUUUUACUUUCUUGCUAAAAAUUCAAAUAUUAUAUAAAUCUAAAAAGUUCUGAAAAAGUAUAUGCAAAUUUGGUUAUUACCAGAGAGUACGUCACUCUCUUGUGAGGGAGGAUAAGCAGACAAUAUGUCCCCCUUUGAGAGCGAAAUACUCUCUAGUUAUCAGGAGAGAGGAUGUCCCUCUCCGGUCAUUAUGAGAGAGCGACAUACUCUCUCUAGUUAUUAUGGGAGAGGAUGUCCCUCUCUGGUCAUUAUGAGAGGGUGACAUGUCACCUACCAUAUGAUGGAUGAUUUUUAUUGUUUAAUGACCAUGUCGGAUGCCUUACUUGGUGUUGACUAUCGCGACCAAAUUUUUUGGGUGUGAACCACCUAGGGUUUGGCUAAUGGAUUGUUAUGCUUAGGCCUAACUCGGGCUCUCCCAAACAUAUGUCAAUUUGCGACUUAUGUUCAGAUUCUUAACAUGAAGAUAGAUUUUAUUUAGGAGUCGUCACUAAUCUAUUUUUGGUGGGUCGAUUAGAAACCCAAGUAAAGUAACGGGAGUUUUACCUUACUCCUACGAACCAGAGACUAUGGGUACGGAGACUUUGUUACACUAGAUUUCUCUAAUACCCUUUCGCUACCAUUCUUUUAUUUUCAAAAAUAUUUUUGCAAGCAACUUAAAUUGAUUUUAAAUUUAUUUCUCUAACAUGUGAGGUGAUCAUGCGAAUGUACAAUCCACCAAUUUAACACCUAAAUAAACAAUGAAUAAAUUGCAAAAAAAACUUACCUCAAAGCAACGAAAGCAUCUGCAAUAUUAGAUUAGAAUCCACAUCAACAACUUUAAAUAUGAUUUCUAAUUAACACGCAAUUUCUUUUUUUGUUUUUACUUAAUGAGAAUCAUGCAAUAUGCAAUGCAAUAUAACUAAAUGACCUAAUUCUAAUGACAUGCCAUUUCUAAUUAAAUUGACCUAAUAACAAUCUUUAAAUGACGUUCAUUUCAUGAAUCUAAUCCUAAUGACAUGCAUAUGAUAUUUUUUCUUUUUUUUCUUAAAGAAUGCAAUUCAUCAUAUGAAAUAAAACUAAUUUAUUCUAAGACAUUUUUUGGUUUUUUUUUUUUAAAGAAAUUCUGAAUUAGAUAAAAUGUGAAAAUUAUCUAGCUAGAUUAAGAUCCUAUUCAAUUUGUAUUAGGAAUUAGGCUAAGCCAAAUCCUAAUUUAAACUAAAAUAUUAUCUCAACCUAAAUAAUUCUAAGGUGCAAUCUAUUUAAGAAAAUACCUAAACUUAUAAUAAAUUAAGAAAAAUAUUAUCUAGAAUUAAACUAAGUGCAAUUUUACCCUAAUAUGCAAUGACAUACAAAAAGAUGCCCUAACUCUACAUGACAUAUGUAUGAUGAUUUUUUUUUUUUUUUGUGUUUUUGUUUAUUAAUUUCGAAAUUAAUAAUUGCCAAAUAAUUAAACAAUGCAAUCCAAGUAAAAAAAACUAGCAACCUAAAUUAAUUGAUUUGAUAUUUAUUUUUAUUUUUAUUUUAAAUAAAAUUCAGAAUAAAAUUUCUACUCCAAAUAUGCAAACCCUAAAAUAAGAAAUAAACCUAAUUCUAGCCUACGUUUUUUAUUUUUUUAUUUUAAAGAAAUUUAACUUAAAUGACACGACAGCAAAUCAGAGCAAGAUGAUAUCCAAAUUGACGAAUCAUAUCUCACGCAUAAGAUCGAGUUAGCUAAUUUUACAUAAAAUUGCGAAUCGAAUCUCAGGCAAGAAAUCGGAUUAGCAAUUUUUUAAAGUGAUUGUGAGUCGAAUUUCGGGUGCGAAAAUCGGACCGACAAUCACAAAUUUCAUUUGGGCGGCCAGAUGUAACUUGCCAUGGAGGAAUAGAUGUUGGAGAGAGGCGCUCAUUUGGGCCAGGAAAUUCCUUAUGGGGAAGGAUUUUUACCACAGGAUAGUUCGAUUCUCUUUCGGUGCUUUGUGCCAUCUCAUUUGAAAGAAGAUGAAUGCGAUUAUCUUCGGGGGUGAAUGCUCGGUGGUCCCUGCCCUUAAAAAUCACCUAAUCAAGGUGGUUAAGGACAAAGCACUCACAUUCACGGAAGUUCUUCCUUCUCCGAGGAACAGAAGACUGCAAAAGGGGUGGGGAUUCCACCCCAUGAUCUUUUCCUCUGUAGCUAUUCCUCCUUAGUUUGUUGUUGUUUCGGUCUGCGCUUGUUCUUGUAGUUGCAGGUUCCUUCCUCCUCUGUUCUCUACUUUUCAGCUUUGAGGGCUUGAGGGCUGGGGAGGCUACGGGCUCCUAUUGUUACGUCUUGUUUGUUGGCUUCCUAGCUUUUGUGUUCUUGCUGGCGCCCUCGGGCUUUUUAUUGGAUCCCCAUCACUCUUGCUCCUUUGUUAAGAGUGCUUGUUUGGAUCCGAUCUUUUGUACUUUUGUCCAUUCUCAUUAAUAUUAUUACCUUUACCAAAAAAAAAAUUAUACUAAAAAAGAGCAAAUAAAAUAAAAUAACAGAAAUAACAGAAAUAAAAUGAGAUAAAUAAGUAAAAGAAAAACUACCUAAUUUUUCUUUUGUUUUCUUUUUUUCUUUUUCUUUUUCCUUCCAAGCAAAGCAGCAACGUGAUGGUCGCCCCGGUGAGGGGAGUUUCACCGUCGGUCGCCGGUCGUCGGAGCUCCGGCAAGGAGGACCAGUAGCGAGCGGAUCGGUGGCGUCGCGAGGAGCAGCGGCAGGCGGCCUCGCUCAGGCUGAGGCAGAGAGCGGAGCGCCUCGGCUCGGGCUCGGGCAGAGGCGUCGGAUCGUCGGCAAGUCGCUGACCGGAGUAGCACCGGCGGAGAUCUGCAAGCNNNNNNNNNNNNNNNNNNNNNNNNNNNNNNNNNNNNNNNNNNNNNNNNNNNNNNNNNNNNNNNNNNNNNNNNNNNNNNNNNNNNNNNNNNNNNNNNNNNNUCAUCUCUCUCUCUGCAGACCGGUCGCUUUUCUUGUCUUUUCUUUUUCCUUCUGACUUUUCCUUGACCUAGAAACCGAGAGAGGCCCCCCUGUCUUUUUCGUACGGAAUGUCUUUUAUAGGCCCAGAAAUUGUAUCUUCGCGAUAUAUUUUAUUUCUGUUUUUUUGUUUGCUCAUUAUACCCCUAAAUAUGUCGUUGAAAUACACACUCCGCGAAAUAUUCCAUUUCGUAUUUCUCGCAUAUUCUAUCCAGAAAAAUUCCCUCUUUGCACAAAAUAUACCCUUUAGUGUAUAUUACUUAAAAAUAUGAAAAAUUUGAACGGAAUAUAUGAAAGAUCUUCCCUUCAUCGGUGGCCUAAAAUAAAACAAAAUGAAAAUAAAAUGUUUCUAAACUAUAUGCCAUGUGUUAUAUAUAUAUAUUGAAGAAAGCAACUAGCAAGAGCAAAUAAAAGAAACUAUUGUCCGUCACAGGUGUCAUAUACAAAACAAAUCUAAUUCUCGAACCCACAUUUUGGUGCCACUUUUUGUCCCCAUGGGGGAAAUAUUGGAUGCCCAAGUUGUGUCCCUCAUCUACGCUAGGUCAUCCACACUAGUUCACUUGGAAAAAGUAUCAAAAAUGUUAUAUAUCUAUUGUAUUUGUAUUACUUUAAUCUUAAAUUUUUUCAAUUUGACCAAUUUCGUCCUAAACAUUUCCACGUUAGUACUAAUUCAAUUUUAAUCUAGGUGACUGUCCAUCCCUCCUAAUUUUUUUUUCUUUUGGUCAGACAUCCCUCCUAGUUGACAUGGUGACAUUUUAAAUAAUUUUCUUAAUACUUUUCUUCCUUGCCAUUUUUUUUCCAUUUUCAUUAUGCCGCUCGCCCAAGCGAGGCCAACCCUUGCCAACCAUGGCCGAUGACUCGUCUGCAAAAAGAAAAGGAAAAGAAAAUGUAAAGAAAGAAAAAGAAAUAAAUUCUAUCUAAAACCAUAUGCGGAGUAUAGAAAAAAUUUCUAUACUCGCGAUGGCAACAUGCUUUUAAUAGUUGUUAUAUUUCAAAUAAACCAAUGACCAUGGCAUUCAAUUAACAAAAAGUAAAUGGUUAAUUUAGACAAUGCUUUUAAUCGUUCACUAUACAAUUUUCUAAAAUCUUGAAAGCUACCCAAUACGGUCUUAUGCUUUGAAUUUCAGGGACUAAUAAUCCUCGGGCUAAAUAAUAAUCCAAAAACAUCACUGAAAAUUUCUUAAUCAUCUCCAUUAUAAUGGAUUCCUCCAUAGUAUAUGGGCAUUGGUACCCACUGGUAGGAAGUCCCCGAAUGGGGAUACCCCAAACUGGGUUGCCAUGGAAAAAAUUGCCCAUUGCGGGCUGAUCAGUCCGACCUAUGACGUUAUGCACUUGAUCUUGUGCUUCUGAGGUCGUUGCAUCCACAGGUAAUUGAGGUUGAUUGUCAACCAUGACGAUAUGGAGAUCUCCCUCUUUUCUUUUUCCUUCGUCUGUUUCAAUGUGAUUUCCUCAAGGUGUUGAUUCUUGCGCCGGAGUGCUAAUGUGUUUUGCAAGUUAGCUAGAUUCUUCCGGCAGACAAUCAGAAGACCAGAAGAGGAUGAAUCAAGGCGGAAGAAGCGGAUUAAAGGUGCCUGACCCGCUCUGAUACCAUGUAAGAAGAUGAAGAAUACGAGAGGAAAGGAAGUGAGAGGGGAAAUUUUCUCUUCUAUUUCAGUAUAUUCACGCAAUGUACAGAAUGUGUAUUAUAGUACAUGUUGUAUGUAAAUAAAAUGAAACAAUAUUAUAUACAAAAUCAUAUUCGAUAUUAAUUGAUCUUGACUUGUGCAAUGAUAUAUGAAUGAUUCCGUUGAAUAUCCUUGCGCAUCUUCAACGAGAAGCGAGCGAUGGAGCUGAGAUGCUUGAGUAGAAGAAGAAGAAGAAGAGGCAGCGAGGGAGGGGGAAAUCGGAAGGUCGUCGUCGGCGAGGGUUACCUCCGGUGCAGAAGACGUCGCGCGAGACGCUUGUGGAGAACCGGAGGGAAUUGAAAGCGAUGCGACCGUGAGAAGGAGAAGAGUGGAGGGAGAGGGAUUUGAAUUUGCAGGGAAGAGCGAAGCAAGAAGAAGAUAAGCUCGCCAUUUUUUCUCCGUGGUAAGCUUCUUUUCCCUCUGCUCCCUAUCUUGUAGAAGCUCCGUCCCUGCAAGUUUAGCCGGCGGAAACGAGCAAAUUCCCUCCUUUGCCCUUUGCUGGUGCGUAAAAGCUAGCUAUGUCAGAAAAUGGCACAAAUGAUUAAUGAAUUUUGAGCCUAUGUAUAAUAUGAUUCAUGAAAUUUUAAUUUAUUCAGUGUAAUUUAUAAAUUUUAUACCCAUGACCAAUGUAGUCCUUGAAUUAAUUUGUUUAAUAUGAUCCUCAAAUUUUCAAUAGAUAUUUAAUUUAAUCCCCGCACUUAAAAAAAUAUUAAAUAUUACCCCUUGAACAUGAAUUGAUAGGAAAUUGAAUUGAACAUAUAACACUAGUUCAUAGACCAUAUUAAACCGAUUAAAAGUUCAAAUAACACAUCACACAUGGAAAUAAAGUUCAUGGAUCAUAUUAAACAAAUUAAUAAUUUAAGGAUUGCAUGUCAAAGUUUAGAGACUAUUUCUAUCAUUAAAUUAGGCUUGACUAAGAUUUUUCUUUUGAUUCUUUCUAUUAUUGCUUUAACCAAAUCUCACUCGAAUCCUCUAUGUUUUUAUAAUGAUAUUUAAUUUUUCGUGUAAAUAUUGAGACUACUAAAGUUCUUCGAAAGCUAACUUUCCUCCAUAAAAAUUACUAACCAUAUUGAGAAAUUACGGACUGAAUAGAAGCUUUAACUGCAAUAAAUACUGACACUCUGAAAUCUACUUCCCACAUGAGAAAACGAGAAAACGUACCCCUUCACUCUCUGAAAACACACUAAUUACGCGAAAAGGUUAAUUAUUCCUUAUAAAUUCGAAGUUAUUUUUCCACUUUGGAAAUUGCUAUUCUUCUGAAAGUAAAUAGGCAAAAAAGGAUGAAUACUUACUUCUAUACGAUAUACAACGUUGAAAAGAAGUGCUUUUUCUACUUGGAAUUAUAUUAAGGUUCGAUUUCUUUAAGGGUGGCGGGCCAUUAGAAGAGGCGAGUUUUUCUUCCUCAUGGAAACUUACUAAAAAACACUUCGAAAAGAUUUCGUUAAGCGCAAUGAAAAAGUGGCCAAUCAUUAAAAUACCGAAGCUUCUUCUUUUUUUCUUUUUUUCAUUUUUUUUUUCUGUAUAAAAUGCUAAAUCAGUAAUUUCCGCUAUUUCCUUAUAAGGAACCUCGUCAAUCGCCUUGAGAUACUUCCGGCUAAUCCGAGACGAGCGACUUGCUAAUGACAAAGAAGUUCCUAACCGCGAUCAUUGAUGAGGUACUAAUCAUGGUGCAAGUUGCUAAUCACGUUGGUGGUUUAGCAAUCUCUGUCGUUGGUCUCUAAAAUACUGGCCACACUGCAUCAUUUCAAUCCCCAAAAAUGGUUGCAUAGAGAUCCCACCCCGGAGAUAACGAGACGAUGGCAGUACGCUUUUACUUCAGGGGAUUAACCAAAAGUUGGCUCCUAUAACCUGCUGAGAUUUACAAGUUCCGUUCAUGUCCGAAAACUCCAUAAUUCAAGCAAGCAUCCGAAGCGGGCAUGUUUUUUCCGAGCACAAAGAAGAAAGACGGCCUUGAGCACGGACUAUUUUACGCUCCUCCCGAGUUCUGGGAGAUUGACUUUGUCUAGAAUCUUUCGGCUGUCAUUACAACAGGUUGAGCCUCGGGACGCCUUCUUGCAAGAAAGGGACCCCUUCUCACAGCAUCUUGCAACUGUGGGCAAAGAAGGGAACAUCAUCAAGUCACAAAGAUACACGACCCGGGUCUUUACAUAACAAAAUCUUCGUACGCCAAGGUAUAACACGGAAAUGACGCAUUCCGCUCUGUGUAUCUUACCUUGCUAGCAAUUCCAGCCAGAGAAGGAUCGUUCAUCAGUUUGGUUGAACGUGUGAAAGCUUGUGUAUUGCUUGGCAGCAACCGUACCUAGCUUCCAUGCCUGAGAAGUCCACCAUCCAAAUUAAAACGCUAAAUGAGAGGCAAGCGAUGGACAAUGCUUCAACCCACUCAACACAAGGAUUAAAAAAAAAAAAGAAAAAAAAGCGUGCGCUGUGAGAGAGAGAGAGAGAGAGAGAGAGAGAGAGAGAGACAUUCAACUCCAGAUGACUUCUACUCGGUGUGCAUUUGUGCGUCUGUUAAGUCACCACUCAAAUUAAUGGACUUAGAAAUAAACAAGAAUGCAGGAAAGGCCCAAAGACACAUCCCCGCAGACAACAAAAGCAGAAGAAACGGAGGAAAAAAAAACAGAAAAUAUAAAAAAGAACUUUCACAAGAUCACCUAUAACAAAUUUAUGGUCCAAAAUAUGUAAUCACUAACACUUAUGCUUAAGGAAAUAGCGUUGACAUAAUUACUAAAGCUCCAACCUACAUGCUUCAAGGGAUAACAUCUCCAUCUGAUGAUCAUGUUGGUGCUUCCGUAACAUGGUGAAUAGGAAAGCGAGCAAUAUAAAAAUACCUAUUUUUGUGGUUUCAAUGCUUGGGUCAGUUACGAUAUCUACUAUCUCUUCUUUUGAGCAGAUCUCCAUCAGGCACCAUGGCCUAGCUACCAAAGCUGUAAUUCGCCUAUAACCCUGGAAAUAUCAAGCUCAUCACAAUGGCUGACAAGCGAAAUUAACCACAAAUAGCAAUGAGCUUCAUUAAGCACAUAGCUAAAAACCAUCAAAUAGAUCUCAACAUUCAUCGGUCAAUCUCCAAUUUAGGACCAGAACAUCAAUUUACACUUACACGUUGAUUAUUUUAGUUUAUGUAUACUUUACAUCUAAGGAAGAAGAAAGCUUGGCUCCUACAAAAAGUUUUUUCCUCUUUUGUGCAUAGGAAAAUAACAUAGAACCAAUCAUUAUGUUUCCUGGAAAAUUGAAGAAAUCCUACUUGAUGCUCCUGAUUACCAAAUGGAUCUGCUUGCUGUAACCAUAAGUGGAUACACAAUAGUAAAACUGAGAAAGAGUAGGAAGCAACCAGAAAGGUAAUGACCAACUCGAUUCAUAAUUCCUAUAACAAAAUCAUCUAUUUCCAGUCCUCCCCUCUUUCUCUUCAGCUAAAGAAGCAAGCGUAGAACACACUGCCCGAGGAUAAGAUUCUGAAGGAGGAUCUGCCACAUACUCAGAACUCUGAAUGGUUUUAUAGAUAAAAUCCAAGGUUGGUUGAUGCAUGUUAUGCACGAAGGAACGUACAUAUUGUGCCCAAAUCCAAAGCAGCGCAAGUUCCACAUUUGUCCAGAGUAAUAUUUUAUAAAAAUGAGAGAGAUCUGUAAAUGACACACCGCUAAACGAGUUUCUGCCUCCUGCUGAAGAACUGAUAGGAAAAGGCCCUGCGAAUCAUGGCACAAGCUCAGCAAUUGGAAGGGAAAAGAAAAAGGAGCUAAAACACCCAAUUAAGGAGUUGCCAAACAAGCAUUCAACAGUUUCUACAUACUGUCUUCAAGGCUGUUGCUUAAUGACUUAUAUCCAUCACACAUUCAUCUCACAGGUCAGAUGUAUCGUUUCUAUUCAGUGCGUGAAUGCAACAGCUAGUUAGUCAUGCUCCCUAGCUUUUGCUCUGAAAUAGACAUAAAAGCACUAAAGGAAGAGAUUCCACAGAAGAAAAUAAGCUAACAGACAGACAAGAUGAGAAACUCUAAACAGGUCAGUCUCGUGAGUUCAUUAUGAGAUCAUAGACCUUCAUGUCAAUAUAGAUUACGAGUAUACUCAAGGUCGCAAUGAGUCAAUGACCCAAAGGAACUGCUGUUGAUGACUAUAGAAUUUUCUCCCAAAUAUGGGACCUGCCAACCUGCUCAUGAGCUUUAAUAUGGAUUUCGCAAACUCUGCACCUAAAAUAAGCUGAAGGCAAUUUUGAGACCUCUUGUUAAUCUAGGUUGUCCUUAAUUUCCUCAACUGCUAUAUCACCAUUUUGCUUCUUUGUUCCCUUCUCUGAAAUAUCAGGCACAUUCCACUAUCACAAAUGAUCAAUUAAGUUUCAUUUCAUAUCACUAGCUUUUCUAGACAAUUCAUAUUUAAAAUCUCCAUUUUGCUCUUGAACCUCAUCAACUAAAGAACAGAUUACAAAGAUGAGCCACUACCAUAAGCUAACACACUAAAAGUGGACAAAAGAACUCGACUUACCGAUGGUAUCAGCUUUGGACUCCUGGAUGCAGCCUCAUAUAUCAAAGAGUCUUAAGGGUUUCUUCUGCAGAACCAUUCAGUAUUACACUAUUAUCUGACCGAGCAUCUCCAGCCAAAUUUCCCAGUGCAUGCAAUGCAGCCUGAGCAAUUUAAUAUCAUAUCAUCAAUAAACUACCACAGGAGAUACAAGUAAAAUCUUUGACCUCGGCUUACUGUUUGUCAUGGAGUAAGCCAUAAAUCAAGACAUUUACAGUACAAAGAUUUGACAAGUUACAAACUCUCAAGAAGCUAACCACAGUUUGCACUAUUCUGGUGAAAGCAUGAAAGCAUGUACAUUUAUGUGUGAUGAGAGAAACUGCCUAAGAUAAUGAGUACUCAUAACAUAGCACAUGUGAAAAUGGAGUCAACAUAACUUCGUUAGAUUGUGGCAAGAAUGGUGAAACUGAUAACAGUAGAAAAAUCUAGGCAUAGCACAUAUCCAGGGUAAAGCAUCCAUUGAAUAGGUCACUCAAAUUAGACAGUACUGAAGAACCAGUGAAACUCUAACGUAAUUAAAAUAUCGUUUCUAAAAGUCCUCUUACUUCUUCUAUAAAAGGGACAUGCUUUAACUUAUGCAGUAUCUAACUCAUGUUCUUUUCACUUUGUCUCUCAUCUUCGAUGUCAUCACCUUCUCAAAUUACAAGGACUGACUCCAUCUCAUGCUAUAUAUAAGAUCAUUAAUUUUUAAGAUAUUCACACUAAUUGGAUCCCCUUAAUUUGAUAAUUGAUCAUGACAAAACAGACAAAGAGUUGCAUGGACAAAAGCGUCAUAUAUCUGCUCACCAGCUGUUUACCACGUCCUUGUCUGUCAAAGGCAGCAUACACUACAUGUCUUGCAACACGAUAUGUGCUCGACAACAAUAACUCAGCUCCCUGAGUUGCUGAAAGCCAAAAUAAAAGACAGAGAGAGAAGAGAAAAUCUUAGUUUCCCAUGGCCGAGGGUACAAAUUGAAAAAUAAAUAAAUAAAGGAUCGCUACUGCAGCAAGAGUGGAGAUGGAAAAAGAAGUACACUAAUCUGUUAAACCAGCAUGGAAUGAGUAAGCUAGGCAUCUUCUAGCAGGGAACAUGCAGGCAAUCUAUAUUUUCUCUCUUUCGAUGUAUGGUAACAAUUCAUUUAAUUCGUGAAAUAGCGAACCGAUAAAAGCUCCUCCUUGUGGCAGGGAACACAACAGCCAGACAAGCUAUGGCAAACCAACGCAGUUCUACUAGCCUACAUGUAACCAGCUAUUAUGGUUAAAGUAUUACAUAAUCCAAUUUGACCUAAUGCUUCAAGGGCAGCUUCACAUUCAUCUGUAUCUAGACUCUCUGACAAGCUGAGUCUCCCAUCAAUGGCAGAAACAACUAUUCUGACACCUGCACUACAAAGCAAGUGUCUUCGAAUUAUCACUCAGUAGGGCAAGGACUCAAGUAAACCCAUAAUGCAAAUUCUCAAUGGGACAAACAAAUCAUGCAAGAAUAAUGUCACUUUAUAAUUGAAAGAAAAGCUACAGAAACCAUAGUAUAACGUAGACAAGCCACUCAAUCAAGCACACCAACUUCCUCAGUUAUACCAGUGAGAACUUGAAUAUUAGUUAUUGCAUUAAAUUGUGAUGAGAUAGAAAGAUUAUCUGAAGCGUGAAGGCUAUUAUAGUGCACAAAUUUGCUUAGAAUGUGCUGACAUAAGGCAAUACCAACCAAACAAUUAACCUCCUCAUGACUACAAAAGCUAAAUAUUGGGCAUAUGCACAGAAAUGAUGGAUCAACCCUACUGGAUUCGUCUGUAAACAUAUAAGUGUCCUCCUUGGACAGUAGUCUUCCGCAAAUCAUCAUUGCUCUGGACCUCAAAAUUGACUCCAACAAUGCAUUGCUACAAACAAUUAUAGCUAUUGUAGUGAUGACAGUUUAGGACCUGUAGAAACUAAAAUUCAGAACAAGAUUGAAAGCUCUCAAUUACCUUAUGAUAGAAGCAAGUAGCUGAAGAAGUGCAGUCCUCCACAAAAUUUUCGUUGCAUGCCGGAUCUCAACCAUCUUGUUAAAUGUGCGAAGGAGAAAAGGAAUUACGAAAAUUUAGGGAAACAAAGGAACAUAGAUCAGUUAAACUCAAUAAGUGUUACAGACGUAUGUAGUUCACUAUGCCAAGGACAUCACCUCCCUCAUAUAAAUAUUAAACUGCAAGUGCAUGAGCAAGUAGUAUGUUUCUUCACUAGGGAAAGAGAAAAGGGAGAAGCAUAGAGAUUAACAAACCUCAUACAAAAGCUCCAGAACACUCAAAGUUACAAGGGUGUCUUGAGAAUCGCUGAUUUCUGCCUCAAAUAAACUUAGUAGAUUGGAACUGUAGAUAAUUGAUGCAACAGAACUGGAGACAGAAAACAGCUUCACUAUCGAAGCUAGAACCCAAACACGACCCUGAAACAUGGUUAUGAAAUUAGAAAUUUUAUCAGUACCCCACUUUCUACGAGUGUAGAUAAGUAGGCGUACGUGCAAACGUAGUGCAAAGGCAAGUAUGGACUUCGUCUAUAAGCUUCCGUGACUUCAUGGUACAAUAAUAACGUCUACAUCAAAGGCUAAAUCACAAUCAACCAAAAACUACCAUUGCAAAAGCACUUGGUUAAUUUUUCGCAUAAGAUUGAGAUCUGAGCACAGUGACCAAAUUAUCUAUUCAUUAGUGCCUAGGAUUUUGCAUCCAUCACUUGUAAUCAAUAAUUUGGAUAGAAAGGAGGGUCUUUUGGGGAAGGGGGGGUGACUACCCUUCUUCAAAUAUGUCCAGACAAAGGAAGUAACCAGCUGAUCGAACUUGUUCUCGCUAACUGAUGCAAGGCAAUGUAAGUUCAACUGUUCAAGUAACAACAUGUAUAUAUCCGUACCAAUGACGAGCAUUGAGCUGCUAAGUUUCUUAGACGCGUAACUUCACUGUCACUGGCUGGAAAAACAACGUUCUGCAAGGUAACAUAAGACAGCCAUCUCAGGUAAGUAGCUUAUAAUAUCAAUAAACCGAAGCCAUAAGAAAUAAGUCUGAGCACGGAUCAGAGUCAAAUCCUUACUGUACCUCUUUGAAGGCAUGCCAGAGUCUUAAUAGCAUCCAUUGAAGCUGCAGUAACUUGUUCAUUUCUAUAGAACAAAUGAACUACAUUUCACUAAGAUAGGAAGAGAUUCCCACCAAAUCAUCAUAAUUCUAACAUGGAUAUUUUCAAUCACUAAAAUUAGCACCGCUUAAUUUUAUUAAAACCCAGGUAGGAGUCUUGAGAGACUGUUUCUGAACUUGAAGAGAAUACCAUGCCAUACAUCCAAGUUACGUAAUGGUUUAUCCAACAGCAAUUAAUUCUUCGUUCCAAAAGUUUUUCAGAGAGCAAUUUUCUCCUUUAGCAUUUGGAUAGAAGACUAUGGAGAGAAGAGAAUUGUUGGUAAAAGUAAACAUAUGUAAGUUAUAAUGACAAAUUUACCCUUUAAAACAGUAAUGCUUUUCAAGUCUGCUAAGAAAGGCAUAAAAGCAGCAAAAGGUCAGUUUGGAGAGAAAUAUUCUCUCUCUCAAAAUUCCUUCCAAUUCCUUCACUUCCCCUCUCUUUCGAUUUCCUCACUUCAUCCAUAAAAGUUAUUAAGAGAGCAGAUGGUGCUACUGGGCAGAGGCUGCUUAAUUCCCGCUAUCUCACUGACUGAGCUCUGGACCACUAUGACGAGUCCGCUAAAGAAUGUCUAGUAAUGGCAUCUCUAGCAAAAUUGUCAGUCCCAGUUGAUAAAUUGCUUUGAAUACCAAAUAAAGCUGGCAUUUCUACAAAAUCCUUGGUAGUUUUUCAAGUGGGGAGCAAAGCGUUUCUCAUUUUCUUUUACUAGGAAAUUCGGAUGCUAUCUCCUUGACAUCUCAAAUCACCGAACAUGUCGAGCGUCAAUUCGUCUUAAAAUUUUAAUGGACAUCACAAUGACUCGUGGUGCAAGAUCCAGGGACAUCUCCAUAGUGGCUGCCACUUUACUCGACAAGACUGGGAUUUCGGUCUCAAAAGUCCCUCCUCUACCAAUAUAAGUAUAUACUACUUCUACCUUCGUGGAAACCCUAGGUAUGGCCAUCUUCCUCUAUGUAAUAUAUGUAUAAAACUCAUUUCUACCUUUCUGGAAACCCAUACAUGGCCAACUUCCUCUGUAUCAUAAACUUCCCAUUUCUAGCACUAUUUAAACGACAGACCAUGCCUAUGGAGUAGACAGUCAAGAUCAAGAAAUUCCACAAUACAGAGUCAAUUGAAAAAACAAAAAAAAUCACUAUUAUGUUCUUACCCAUUAACAAGGCAAUCAAGAAAAAGUGGGUAAAUAUUGUAGUCAAUAACUAUCUUCACAGCAGACAAAGACUUUUCAUCCGAAUUCUCCAACAGGCAAGACACCUGAAAAAAAUAAUAAUUAGAAGAAAUAAAAAAAACUAAGAGCACAAUUCAAAGUGCGAGGUACAUAUAAUCACCGCAUAAAUUAACUUUGAAUUCAGGGUGGACAUUUCAUCUUUUAAUUUUCUCCUAGACACAGCUCCAGUAAAUAUCUCCCUCAAACUAAGUUCAGUAACUUGCUAAAUAUUCUUACUUCUAAACUCCAAUAUCAUUCAGUAGAAAUAUGGACAAACAGAAGAAACAUAUAUAACAUCUCAUCAAGUCGAUAAAACUGACUUUGACAUGUUUUUCCUUUCCUAACUAUAAGAAAACAGAAGGUUUUACCAAGUAUAAGCAACCGGGAGCUUUGUGAUCUUUUAUAUAUUCUUGACAAAUUAGGAUCAACUGCAAAUCAAUGUAAACGACCAAGAAACACUUUGUUUCCCUUUGUCUGUAACCAAUCCCAUCAAAGAAGGUGAUUAUCAAUCUAACCUUAGGAGGACGGAAACCAACAACCUUGUUUUAGAAAAGUGCAGUGGGGUGCGGAGCAAUGACCGCAUGUGGAAAACUCCAAGCUUUUUCUGGAAUUGGAUGGCUGACUUUCUUUAAAAGAUCUUUAUGUAAUGACAGGAUGCGCUCAUUUCGCAGUUGUCUAUGGCUCGCUAUUUCUGAACUACAGCAAGUUCAUGAAGGUGGUCCACCUCAUGACUACAGACCGGCAGCUUAUUCUCUAAGCUAAAGACCAGGAUAUUGGAAGUUAGGGCUGUGAAUUAAGUGCGGUUGGCAUUCUGCAUUUUAAAAGUUAACGUGUGCUAUCUGGUGUUGUAAUCGUAUAGCCACAGAACACAGAAAUCAUCCAUUGGACCUAAAUCAAUAGCAGGGGUUAAAACCUAUUUCAUACUAACCGUUUUGCAAGCUAGACAUCUGACUUCUUGUGAAGCUGCCUGCAAACCAACUUGUACAAAAGGCUGCACAAACAAAUAAAAAUUUGGGGAAGCAUGAAGCUCAUCUUUUUAUACGCGCACAGAGGGGAGAGACCCGCCUAGACUACAAACGCAAUAGAGAAGCGAUUCAAAUCCAUCCAAAAGGGCUUCCCAUGGUACAGGAACCUAAGAUUAUCGAAGGUUUCGAGCAUACCAUAAAGUGCGGGAUCAGGGAAGCGCCGUAUUUGGUCUUGAACACUCUCUCCAGACAAUUAACCAGUGUACUUUCGAGACCGGGCACAUCCGCUCUCGUUUGCAAAGCGCUGCAUAUACGAGAAAACCAAAAUCGAACAAACGCUUCUCUUAACUUCUUGAGCAAGUCAGAAUCAGCAAAAAGCCACAAAACAAAAAAACGACGUCAACAAACAGUAGACGGUCACGAGUUGCUAUCGGGUCGCAAGAACGAAGAAAUCCAGCGAAGAUGAUAAAAAGAAAUGGGUAGGAAACAGAACGACAAGCUUGUCCGAAGAAAAAAGAAUCAAGCAGAAAAGAAGUCGGAAUCGUCCGAGACACGUCACCUGAUGAUGACGGGAAGAGGAAAGCGAUCGAGAAACUCCUUCGCGGCCGCGUCGUUCUGGACGCCUGAAUCAGCAGGCACCACGAAAGACGAAGAAAUGAAACAAACAACUCCGGGAAACCGAGAAGAGAAACGAAACCGAGAUCGGGAAAAGCCCUAACCGGGAUAGAGGGCGAAGUCGGAAGCCGCUUCCAGCAAGCGGGAGGUGUCCUCCAUGAAGUACUCUUCCUCCAUUGGCGCUCUCUGGUCCAUCGCUUCGCUCGCCGAGUGAAGAAGCAGCAGCAGACUGGAUGAAGAGAGAGGAGAGAGAGAGAGGGACGUUGCCCCGGAUUCGCGUACUGGAGAGGCGCGUGGCAAUCGCCGUGGGUUCGUGUCUGAAUGACGAUGAACAAGUUCCAGUCCGAUCUGUUUGAGAAAUGGGCUUUUAUUGCAGGACGAGCCCGGCCCAAUGGGCCCAUGAUGUCUUGCCGGUCAGCCCCAUUCUAUUUUUCUUUUCUUUUUUCUUUCUUUAUUUUCAAUAACAGAGUAAUAAGAGCCUCUCUAGCAUUAUUUUCGUAGUAAUAAUGCUCAGGCUCAAAAUAGAACUUUUAUAUUAGGCCCCUAACAAUUAUAACCCCACACCCACUCAUGACCACGAGUCUCGGCAAGAGUAUGUAUGCAUAGGUGCAUCGGUCAUGGUAACCCCAUCGAAAAACUGAUCGAUGUCUCUAUUUUUUCAACGGGAUAUCUACUCUAUUAUGCACGGAAAUUGAAAUAUCACUUUCUUCUUGACUUUGGUUUCAACCUCCCUCCCCUAGGCAAGGAAGCAAUUGAUGCGGGGGAGGUUAAGAUUUGAAGAAACGUAUAUCAAAAUUCCUCCGUUCCCUUUUACUAAGUACAAUAGUUUGAGCAAAAAUUCGCAUGAUUAUGCACGCGAAUGCACAAAGAUUUCAUACGUAUGGAGAAGAAAAUGCAUAUGGGCCGAAUGGUUGGCCCACUAGAUCUUACAAAGUUCCCAAUAAGAUUUUGAAGGAAAGUGAUGCCUGAAAGAGAAAUUGAACGGUGUCACUUGGAGGGCCUGGAAAGGCGCACUUCCUACUUGCCAGGCCCAACCCCACCUGUUUAGGACCGACCGUUUUAGAACGGUUCUUUGGGCUUUGAGAUAGUUUCUGCUAGUUCGUGUUAGGACAGGACCAUUUCGACAACAUCGUUGGUGGGCAGGUCAACUCUCGUCAACAUCGCUUGUUGACCGCUCCUGCCAUUGGGCCAUUGAGAAGUUUGAAAAGUCGACCCAUUGAUCAAGCCCUCGUUAAAUCCAUUUCAAGUAAAGCCAAGGAUACGGAGGGCCGUUCUCAACAUCACUGGAUGUCAAACACGGCUUGCUUGUUCAAUCCAACCCACUCCUUUGAAGGGCCGUGGCACUGCUCAAUAUGCUAACCUGUGGAUCAAUUUGAUGGGAGAAUAGUAACAACCUGAACACCACAGUAACUUUAGAAUUGCUCAUCUCCUUUGCCCCCAAAAUCUUGUGCUAUCAUCUUUAAUUUCAGAAAAACUAAAGCGCACAAAAAAGGGUUAAUGCCACGAUAAACCUCAAAUGGGUACACAUAUGACAAAUUUACUAUAAACUAAUAUUUUGAUCAUCAAAAAAUCCAAACCGGUAAAGUUUCCUCUAAUUUCACUCUUAUUAAAUGACCCGUAGGAGUUUAUGGAUAUUUCAAUUUGAGAUUCUAUUCUUCAUUUUCGGAGGUGUAUCAAUUUAUGAUUUUUCGUAAUACUAACGGAAGAUAAACUUGUUACAAAUGCACCGAUUAGGAUUUUUGAUUGGAAGUAAAUUUAUCAUAAAUGUACUAUUUUGAAAUUUUUUGUGAUUAAAAAGAUUAAUUUUUGAUAAAUUGUCAUAAGUAUAUCGUGAUAUUAACCAGGAAAGAAAAGGUUGAGACAAAGUAAAAGACUAGAAAGAAAAGAAAUGUGUGGUGUACUGUAGUACUACGCUGCAACGAGUUGUCGGCAGAAAUGAGAAAAAAGAUAUGCUGCCCUCACCAUGAUGUUGUAACCCGCUGUUGCAUCUUCCAUGGCCGUACUUUCUGAAGCCAUGUCAAGUGUGUUUUUGGCGCUUCUUCAGAUUCGGCCCGUCUCAUCAUUUCUUUCUACCACAAUUGUAUGGCCUUGGUUUGCGGUCUAACAAAUUUCAUGGUAGAAUCUACCCCAUAGAGAUUUUCUCAAACAUCUCAUUAGCUGUAAUAGAUUUGUCCGACAACAAAUUCGAAGGGCCUAUUCCACUUCCAUCGCUUGUCACAUUAUUUUAUGUUAUUGCGAGUAAUAAUAUUACAAGAAAGGUCCCUUCUUCAAUGUGCCAUGCCACCAAGUUCGAGAUCCUUGACUUGUCGCACAACAGCAUAACAGGUAGCUUGCCUCGGUGCUUAACAAAUUUCAGUAACAAUCUGUCAAUUAUGAACUUGCAAAUGAACCAAUUUGAGGGCACAAUUCCUUGAUCAUUUUCUCAGAGAAAUAACUUGUCAACUCUUGACUUGAGUUGAAAUCCAUUUGAAAGCACAUUGCCAUGAUCCCUUGUAGGGGUGAGCGCAAUUCCCGAGUAGAACUGGGAACAAGAGAACCGAACCGGAGGGUUCGGUUUGGUUCCCGGUUCUCUUUUUCUAGGAACCGACAAUUCUCAGUUUCUGAAUUGGCCCCUUUAGAACUGGUUAGGGUUCCUAAAAAUCCCCAAAUCAAUUUUUAUUGUUUAGUGUUUAUCCUCAGUAGUCAAUUCGGUUCUCCUCUCUCGUUCUUUGCCUCUACCCACUCCCUAACGUCGCUUGCCCUCGAUGCCACCGCCGGACGCCCCUUGCCCUCGAUGCCGUCGUUAGAAGCUGCUCGUCUCACCGUUGGAUGCCAAUCUCGCCCUGCCUUACCUCCCUCGACGUUGUCACCCCCCACUUGCCUUACAGCUCAGCCGCUAGACGCCACUCACCCUCAACGCCGCCGCUGGACGUUGCUCGUCCCCCUGGUGGAUGCCGUUCGCCACUCACCCAGUCGCCCCCAACACCGCUCAUCGCUUGCCCAACCACCCCCGAUGCUGCUCACCUAAUCGCCCCCAACACCUCUUGUCCAAUCGCCUUCGACAUCGCUCGCCACUCGCCUAGCUGCCCCCGACGCCGCUCAUGGCUCACCGCUUGCCUUUCGUGCCAGUGAUCUCUGUCGGCCCCUCUCUCCGUCAUUUUGCGAAGUAUCGCAAAACUGAGCAAAGCCCUUUGUUGUCCUGUAGAUUUCAGUUCUCCUUUAGUGUUGUUUUCUUGUGCGGCCUAUGCAUUUCAUUCGGAAGAGAGGAAUGUAAAGGUGGGUAUGUUUAGGGGAGCAUUUAUUGCAUUCAAUUAGGUCAAAAAGUUUGGACAACGUAGAAAUUGAAAUUGAGUUGAGACAAUUCAUUUGCUCAUUAACAUAUAGUUGGCUUCUGUUGCAGUUCAUGAUAUGCUAUGGCUUUUCGUUGAUUUACUUUCUCGGAACCAUUGUCUCUUGGCGCAUCUUGGCUCUGAUCGAUAGUGUCUCAGUUCCCUCUUUUUAUGUUAUGUGGUGAAUGAGUUGGAAAAUAUAGAAAAGUCAUUCUUGGUGAUUUCAUCUUUAGGUUGCAUUCCCCGUGUCAUACAAAUUUUGGGUUUGUUCUUUGUUCCAGAGUCUCCUAGAUGGCUGGUAAGUUAUUAGUGGAGUAGAGGCAUAGACAUUAACAUUUCAAUUGCAAUCCACUUUGACACACAAUCGAAUUGGUGCAAAUUGCCAGUCUAAGUAUAUGCUCGUGGUGUAUAAUCAUAGAACUCAAUGACGAAGCCAAGAUUAUGAACUUUUCAUUGUAAGAAUAGCAUAAAGUCAUUCGCAGGUAAAAGUGCACCGAGAGAAGGAGUUUGAAGUCACAUUAUAAAGACUUAGAGGCAAAAGUGUCAAUAUUACUCAGGAAGUAGCCGAUAUUAGAGUAAUAUCUCAAUCUUGCUUGUCUUUUAGAUAAUUUGGAAUUGUUUGAUUUUUACUACUAAGGUAUCUCAUUUCUGCCAUGCCCCGAACCUUGAGCACACGCACAUCUCUCUGUGGUCGAUACAAAUGUGACGUUCCCAAGACGCGUUGCCGACCCAUUCAUUUUUAAUGCACAUGCGGAGCGUAUAAAUAACUCCUGAUAACAAAAAACAUGGGAUAGGAAAGCAAGGCACAUUUCACAAAAGACAACUUUUAUAAACAAUGGGUUUAGAUAUAAAAUGAGUCUUUGAUAGAGAACAUAACUCAUGGUGGAACAGAAAAUGAUGAGUAAAACAUUCAAAAUAUCUUGAAAUUCCAAAUAACUUUACUAAAAAAUAACAAAAGGGAGUUCACUCCCCAAUAAUUAACUGUCCACAAUUUAAAAUAAUUUGUCUACAUUGUAGUCAUGGCCAUAGCCAAGCAUUUAUUUAUUUAUUUAUUAAUGGUCACAUUAUGUCCAUAGAUUGUCUUAUAGAAAAAAAAACUCUCCUAUAGACUAGAUUAAUAUGCCUUAAAAAAUGAUGAACAUAGACUUCCUUGGCAUGUAUUAUGCAGCAAGAUUGAAUGAUAACGGAAAAAAUUCAUCGGUAAAAUUCAAGUUAUGAGAUUAGUCUGUCAAUGCCCAUUUGACAUCAAUGUCCUGAAGACUACUGCAGUGUCUCGCCAGUUCAAGGUGUUAUGAAAUCGCACGUUGAUUCUAGAAAAAUAACGCUCGCAAACAAUUCACCAAGCAUAAUAUAAUAAUAAAAUAAUAGAAUCGGAAGAACACGCUAGAAAAUUUGUUAACGAAGUUCACCCAAACCUGGGUUAUGUCUCCGCGUAGAGGCACUCUGCGAAUCCACUAGACUUCGAAAAAAGUUUGAAUACAACGAUGAUCUUUUCUUAAGAUCAGGGCACAAAAAGAUUGAGAACCCUCAUAAAGGAAAAACUCACUUUUUUCUUCUCUCUUUUUCUUGCCUCUUUAUUUUCUUUUUCAGCGUCUUGACGACCAGCGUUUUGCCAUUGCUAAUGUAAAUGUAUCACUUUUAACCUAAAAGCAAAUUUGAUGGAAAAGACUAAAAAAACCCCUAAAAAUAUUUGGCUUCAUCUAUAACAAUCUCCCGCUUGAAGACAAAUAUACCCGAGCACCAAUCAACUUUGCAUCCAUCUUCUUCAAAAAACUAGUUGUUGACACCUAAAUUUUGGUGGUCUAAUCAUUCCUUCAUUACAUAGAAGAUUAGGGACUAAAAUUUAGCCCUUAAGCAAAAAUAUUAAAUUAAAUUGCUUAGCAUAUAGAUAUUAGGGGGCAUAUUUCAUUUAAGUAUACAUUUGUUGAGCCUUGGAGGGGAUGCAACUGUGUAGAAUGAGAAGUUUGAAGUCGAUGGAGAUGGAGAUGUUUCUAAGUAGGACAAUUUAAAUCAGGAUCUUGAAGGGACAGAAAAUGGUGACCAUCUCGAUGAAUCAAAAGAGAGCAUUCCUACCCCAAGAACUGCUUGUCCGGAACUCUGACUUGAAUGUGGAUUUGGAUGAAAAUGGGAAUUCAAAAUCAAUAUUAGCUUCUGGUCCGACUAAGUAUAUCAGCCGCUCUUGACGCUGGAUUCAUGCAUGAGGAAUAUCUUGAGUGGUCUCUUUCUGAAGUUGAGAAGAUGGCCAUCGAUCCCGUUCAGCUUGCAAACUUGAAUAGAGAGAUGGAUGAAGAUGAUGAAGAUAACGAUGAAGAAGGCUAAGUUAGCAUGAUGCUUUGGUGCUAUUUGUUGAUGCAAAACCAUUAAAUGUGUUUGGAUAGAGGCGUAAACACCUCACAUGCUAAACUUUGGAAACAUUGUCAAGACAGGGUUGAAACUGACUAGUUCCAAGCUACUUUAGGAAGUUCAUAGUUCAACGUGUCAGAUUGCAUACAUGUAUAAAAGCUUGUGAUGAUCGUCACAUGGUGUUAUCAUCAGUCAACUCACUAUUAUCAUUGCCUUUUCAUCCCUUUUCGGUUUGGAAUGUAUUGACAUCAUCAAGUCUAUUUCAUGUUUCAAUGCAUGAGUGUCGAAUCUUAUAUUUGCGUAUCCAUCUUUCCUUGUACUCCUGUAAUAGGAAAAAUAGGAAAGCCCAAUUUUGCAAGGGAGUUGAAUCGCGGUGGCCUUACACCAUUACACAUUGUGUCGGCCAUGGGGGAUUUGAAAGUCACAAGGGAGCUUCUAAUAGUAGGCCUUGAUCUUUGCAUGAUUGAGAACAAAGGUGGCUGGACACCGUUCCACUAUGCGGCCAUCAAGUGUAGGGUCAAGUGAAGAACCUAGCUUACUUAAAGUAAACACCUGUCAAGUGUAGGGGGCAGGGGUUUAACAACCACAACUAUUCAUCAUCGCUAAAUUAUUCCUGUUCCACGUCCUCGUCCUCAUCGAUCUCCCCUUCUUCCUUGCUCCAGUUGGCGGCCUCGACUGAGUACACCAGAGAGUCAGGAUCGCUUUCGAGUUUGGGAUUCUUGGCAUCCACUACUGAUCCACCCUCAGGAUCUACGGUGCCAUUCCCAAGCGCAACCUCCAAAACAUAUCGAGGUAUAUCGGAUUCCGACACAGGACCCUCCCUUCGCCCAUCAUGAUAGUGGCGAUACCAUGACCGGUACCUAUGAGGCACCUUUUCGGGUUCACCCACGUCAACCAAGACAGUGGAUUUUAUCAUUACAUACUCCGAUCCUUUAGGGUGAGGGUGUAUUGAAAUAUGAUAACCUACUUCUGUGACUUCCUCCGGUAUACCAAAAUGCACGAGAGGAGGGGGAGGUGCUACCAUCUAGGGACCCGAAAUGUUGUCCCACAACGGGGUGAGACUACGUCUCAGCAAGUUCUACCCCCUAAGACCCGAUUAGGAAGCCAAUACGCCCUAAAGGCUACCUAAGCCCAAAUUGGCGUCAGAGAACUUACUUUGGCCUCAGUUCAUUCCUGCAAGUCAGUUCAAUUCAUAAAUGUUGACUGGUACAUCAUCCACUCAAUUCAAUCAGAUCGACUUAUCGAUCAAUCGACUUGGUUGAUUAUAUGUCAUCGAGACCAUCACACGGUCACAUCAAUUAAUCAUUCUCAACUCUUAGCCAUGGCCUAACAGGCACAACCUAAACUAAGUGGUAAUCACGGCCCCACUAGCAACUUUUCUAUAUUUGGUGGUCAUCACGGCCCCACCUGGCAAUUUUCUAGGUUUAGUGGCAUCACUGUCCCACUCGGCACUUUUCUUAAGUUUAGUAGCAUCACGGCCCCACUCGGUAAUUUCUUAGAUUUAUACCUACAUUAUCUAAUUUUUGGUAUAAAUCCUCAUAAUCUCAAAUUUCGCUUAAUUACCACAAUUCGGUACUCAAUUAAAUAAACAGAUAGCACCACAUCAAUCAGCACGAAAUUCCGGUCACCGACCAUCCCGGUUGAAUUUCCAAAAAAUAAAUAAUUAAUUAAAUAAUUACGGAAAAUAAUAAAUAAAUGCAAUAAAUUCAACUUAGGGCCGUUAUAGCCUAAUUGAAAGCCGAAACGGACUCGGAAAAAUUCGAAGUUUUGUUCAAUAAUUAAUAGCACGAGUCUACUUGCUAAUGUCACUAACUAACCACCUAACAUGCAUCGGCAGAUAAUUAAAUUAACUAAUCUAAUCUAAUCUAAUCUAUCCACCUAAACCAUGCUUAAUUAACCUAAUCAAUCCAUAAUCGUAAUUAACCGACUAAGCGGGAAUUAGUGAGUUCAACUCAUUUGUUUCACGAUCCGUCCAAUUCAAAAUGUCGGGAAUGCAACGGGGACCGAUUAACUCCAUGGUAGGCCCAGAUUUUAAGGCCCGGAACCACCUCAAAACAGGCCUUGAAGCUGCUAGAAUACCCACUUCAUCAGCCUUUGUUUGUUGCUGUAAACAAAGAAAACAAAGGCUGAACAAGUCAAGUAAGACUGGUGAAGGCAACGGCAAAGCCGAGCGACCAACAACACGAGCUCACGGUGGUUGGACAGGGCUCACGGUGGCCUGAGUUGAUCGUGAGAGCUCCUGGGUCACGCGGACAGAGGCGGACGACGAGCUGGGACGCGCGGACAGGCAGCACGGGCGAGCGGACGCGAAGGUGAGUUGGCUGCUCCGGCGGGCAUGCGGUGGCGCGGCUGCUUCCGGCGGCUUGUGGGGUCGACGACUGCUUCUCUCCUGUUGGUUGCUAGGUUUCGAACAAGGCAAGGAGGGAGAGGCGGUCGCAUGGCAAGGGGGAAAGAGGAAGGAGGGAGAGAUUGGAGGGGCCACAAGCCUUGAUCUUCCACCAUAUUGUUCCCUUGACUCAACCACAACCACAAGCACUUCCUUGUUUGCAAUUCAGCUAACCAUGCACAUCCUUGGACACUUGAAAUGGUCCAAAAUCAUAGGGAAAUGGGGGAGCUACGAAAUUGGCUAAGUUUCCUCCCAACUGGACACAUGUUCUUGUUUAAAUCAACAUGAUUUGGCCUCAAUAAAUUCAAUCGAUACUCCUCCGAUCAUCUUGGCAUUUUUCCUUACAAAUACAACUCACUUGCUUCCUAAAUUUGCGAUAAAAAACGAUCCCUGGCUAUUUUGAACAAAACGGCCCUACCUUGACUUUUUCUCAAAAAGUCUCGGGUUGGAGAAAAAUCUUCUGAGAUUGAGUUGAUGCUCCUAGAAUUUAUUGUGACAUGAAAAAAUCUUCAAUUUCUGAAAUCGAAUUUAAAUUUGCGGUUAAUUUCUCUCAGACGCAUUUUUAGCGUGACCUAGGUUACUAGGUAUGUUUCAGAAACUUUUAGUACAAAUGACCCGUGGUCAAUUUUCUUUGAGUCACAAUGAACCCACUCGAUACAUUGGCGACUCUUGGUUGUCGUGAAAAUCUCGAGGAUUCAAAUACGGACACAAGGUACCAAAUGAUAGAAAAAUCAGUCUAAUGCCAGCCGACGAUAAUUUUUCAAUUUAAUGGUGUCACCCAUAAUUGGCCACACAUCUCAAUUGAGUUGACCUAUCUCUGAUCUCAAAUCUAUUUUUAACUGUACCAUAAUAGCCUCUAAAGAUGAUCAAGGUCGAGAAGCCGCUUCCUAGUUGAAUUCUUAGGUCUAUUGCAUUAAAAUUCUUUAAUAGCUUCCCUGGAUUGUCUAAUUAUCUCAAGAGUGAUCAACUUUGAGAACAACCUUAUAGGCGCGUCGAUGAAAUACCCAAUUUAUUUAAUAGAAAACAAGAUUGAAAAUUUGGGAUGUCACAACUCUUCCCAUUUUAUAAAAAGGUGGGGGUACAACUGUUGUCACGCCCCGAACCCCGAGCGCGUGCACAUCCCACUGCGGUCGAUCAAAUAUGCGACAUCCCAGGAUACGUCGCCGACCCAUUCAUUUUAUUACGCAUGCGGAAGUGAAACAAAUCCCCUGACAACAUUGAACUUGGGAUAGAAAAGCAAGCAAUCAAUCACAAUACCAAACACUCAUUUACAAACACAUAGGUUUAAAUACAACUUUGGACUGUUUACAAAGUAGACCGGCUCGACAAAAGGGGAACUAUCCUAAAACCAACUAGCAGGACACGUUCACCGAUACUUCAGUCUCCACUUUUCCAGACUUAGGGCUUCGGGUCCUCCACGACCGCCAUCUAGGGACCUGAAAUUUUAAUCCCACAACUGGGAUGAGACGAUGUCUAAGCAAGUUCAACCCCCUAAACCCUUAUUAGAAAGAAAAUACGCCCAAGGGUGGCCUAGCCACAUCACACAGAGAACUUACCUCACUUCAGUUCCUUCCUGUAGGUUAGCAAAAUUCAAAUCACCCAACCAUAGAUAGUAAUAGGAACUCAAACAAUUGGAACGCCAUCACUUUCAUAUAAAUCACAAUCGCACUUAGCACGCAUUCCAAUUAUUAUUCACUGCCACACAAGGGCAUAGCCUACUCGCAGUUCGGCUAUCUACUGGCAUAUAGCCAGGCAUCGCCUCCCCCCAUUGAGCAUGGCUUCGUCAGUACGUCGACGGCAUUCCCGAAGGAGCGUGGGCCCAGAAUCUACUGCGACCCGCAACCACCGCGUGGGCAUCCCAUAUAGGGGCAAGUCCGGCUCAACAGCCCAGGACGAUUCCUCUUAGUUAUCACACAGUCAAAGCAUACUUGGCCCCAGGAUAAUUUAUAUUUCACUCAAUGCUUCAACUUAAAACAGUGAUCCCGACCAUUUUUCUUCAUAUUAAAAAUAUUCCAGAAAUUACUCACGCGCGUGGGGACACGCUAAUUUCGAAUCAAAAAGCCAAUAUCUCACUUUUUCAAACCCCACUAUUUAAUAUAAUCAUUAAAAUCCAAUUUUUUGCAUCAAAACCCAACACUUGGAUUUUUAUGAAUAUAAUCCAUAUUUAUCACAAUCAACACUCAAUUUGCCACAUCCAUUCAUCAAAUUCAAAUUCUAAAUGCACAGCAGCGAUCAUCACGAAAUUCUGAGAAAAUAAGAUUCCAAAAUCAUUUUCAGAAUUUAUUAAAUAAUUAAAUUUAUUCCGAAAAUUAAUUAAAUAAUAAUAUCCCUAUCUUUCACGAUCCACACUCAAUUCAUAAUAUCCAAUUAUCAAUUUCAAAAUCCGACUAUACAGCAGCGGCCGACACGAAAUUCUGAGAAUUUAUGGUCCCGACAAAAUUUUCGGAAUUUAAUAAAUAAUUAAAUUUAUUCCGAAAAUAAUUAAAUAAUAAUAUUUUAAUAAUUUCGAAUAAUAAUAUACUAUUAAAUUAUUUAAUGAUUUCGGAAUAUUUAAAUAAAUCAAAAGUAAAUUCUUUUAUGUCACAUUAAAGCUUAUAUUAAUGUAAUCACUCACUUAGCCUUAAAUUAAACACAAUUUAAGUUAAUCAAACACCUUAAUAUAAUCUACACUUAAAUAAAUUAAACUAAGCACCCCUAAAGCAUCAUCAACACUCUAAUCAAGGUUUAGUGAGUUAAACUCACUGGAUUAGCGAGCCGAGCGAACCAAAACGACGAGGACGACGCGAUGAUCGACUUUCCUCAAGGCGGGCCGAGCAUCCGGGCUCGGGAAGGCGGCCAAAACGGGCCAAACAUGGGCUGCCAUACCCAUUUUCUAGCUACUGAUUUGGGGCUGGAGGAGGCGGAUCCGGCGCCGAAAUGGGCGGAGGAGAGGGAAGGCAGCUCGGACGGAGCUCCGGCGAGGCUGACGGUGGCUGGAGGCGGCUGAGCCGUGGCCUAAACUGGCCGAACAGCUCCCUAGACGCAUGAGCAGAGGCCAACGGAGACGGCCUGGCGUCGGCCGAGCGCGGGCGAGCGCGGGCAGUGGCGGAGCACGAGACGGCGAGCGGCGACGGCGACUUCGGCUGCGGCGCGCGGCGGUGAGGCCUCAACGGCGAGCUGGCUUCGUCGAUCUUCAACUUGCAGGGGCGUCGAACAGCAAGGGAAUGGAGGAGAGAGAUGGAGGUGCGAGCGGGUAGGGCGAGCGGCGAGGCGAGGGGCUGCGACGGCGACGACGGCGAGCGAGCAGGUGGCCGGUCGGGCGGGCGAGCGGCUGGCGAGCUGCUGGUUUCCAUCGGUCUCUCCCUCUUCCCCAUUCAAGGAACAAACUCAAGGUUGAAGAUGAUGGAGAUGGGUUGGAGGUGACAUCCCACCUUUUGAAGAACAAAUCCCUACCCUCCACUUAUCACGAUUUUAUGCACUCUUGCCCCCCACACCAUGACAUCACAAAGUGAUGUCAUACUCCACUAACUCUAUUCUCCACAACCUCUUCCAAUGGGUGCAUUUUAUUUUUCCGCCGAGGCAUAAAACUUUGUCCAUUAAUCUCUUUAAUUCCAUUCAAUUAUCUUCCAAUUGAGUCCAAUUGAAGUCCAUAAAAUUAAUCCAAUGUCACCACACUUCAAUUCACAUUUUCACUUGUCCAUAGAAUCAACUUAAGUCCCAAAAGUACGACUAAAAGCGGGCCUAUUAAUUUCUCAAGCCAAAUUAACCAAUCUCUGAUUUAAUUUGCUGAAAAACUCUGAUUACAUGAAAAAUCUUCCGAAGAUAAGUCAAUGAUCCUGAAAUGAUUUGUGAUACCCUAUGACUUCCAAUUUCUGAAUUCGAUCUCAAUUUCACGGUUAAUUUCACUUUGGCACGAUACUAGCGCGGCCCAACCUACCGGGUAGCCUUUAGAAAUUUUAAUGCAUUUGAUCUGUGGUUGAUCAUCUCAAGCCACAAUGUACAUCUUUGAAACAUUGACGACUUUCGGUUGUCGGGGUAAUCUCAAGGUUUCAGAUACGGACACAGGGUACCCAAUUGACAGAAAAGUCGGUCUAGUGCCGAUCGACAAGAAUUGUGCGAUCUGGUGGAAUCACCCACACUUGAUCACAUGCCUCUGUCGAGUCGACCUAUCUCCGACUAAUCGAUUUUUAAUUGUGCCGUAAUGACCCUUGUAGAUUAGCUCGGUCAAAAUGUCGUUUCAUAGUCAAAUUCUCGAGUCUAAUGCAUUAGAAACUCUUAACGGCUUCACCCGAUAGACUAGUUUUCACAUGAGUGGCCGACUCAAGGAAAAGAACUAUAUGCGUGCCAACGAAAUGCCCGUCUCAAUUUAUUGAAAAUAGGAUUGAAAAAUCGGGAUGUCACAACUCUUCCCAUCUUAUAAAAAUUUUGUCCUCGAAAUUUAAACCUUUACCAAUUCUCAAACAGAAAAGGUGGGGGUACAAUUGUCUCAUCGAAUCUUCGGUUUCUCAAGUUGCUCCUUCUGUACUAAUGUUGCCAGAUCACUGCUAUCUUGCCCAAACCACUUCGGAUCCAAAAUACUAAUCACUUGCCCACUUAAAAUUCUAAAGGUCUUCAACACAAAAUCUGCGAAGCUAAACUGGAGAUUCUGAGCAGUCUCUAAAUUGUCUCUGAUAAUUGCAACUGAAUCACUGAUUUCUGACCCAACUCUGGAUUUGCGAUUUUCUGAUCUCUGAUCUCAUCUCAACAGACUGAAAUCCUGUACACUUUACUCUACACUGAUUAAAAGGAAACUAUUUGACUGAUCUGCUGAAACUGGGAACCUCUAGUCAAGAUCUGAUAUAACUCUGACACUGAUCGCGGUAACUGCAAUCACUGACUACUGUACUGAUCCUGGCCUGUGAUCCUUCUUUCCCUGACUUUAUCUCAACAAUCGAAAUUUUGCACCCUCUGCUAUGCACUGCUUAAGAAAGAAUCAUCUGAAAGCUUUGCCAACUUGGAACAUCUGAUCUAGAUUUGAAAUACAAUUCACCAUCGGCACUUCAUGCAGAUGAUUUAUAUGAUAUACACACACUUCGGUGUACCCACUUUGUGACAAGACAGAAUCUCCAAUUUCUGAAAUCGAACUUAGAUUGGCGGUUAAUUUCACUCCGACACGCUUUUAGUGUGACAUAGGCUACUAGGUAGUUUUUGGAGCUUUUUAGGACAAAUGACCCGUGGUCAAUUUUCUUCGAGCCACGAUGAACCCAUUUGACACAUUGGCGACUCUCGAGGGUCAUGAAAAUCUCGAUGAUUCAAAUACGGACACAAGGUACCAAAACGACAGUAAAAUCAAAUUAGUAUCAUUCGACGAGAGUUUUCCAAUUUAGUGGAGUCACCCACAAUCGGUCAUUCAUCUCAGUCGAACUAACCUAUCUCUGAUCUUAAUUCGAUUUUUUUACUGUGCUGUAAUGAUCUCUAAAGAUGAGCACGGUUGAGAAGUCGAUUCCUGGUCGAAUUCUCAAGUCUAUUUGCCUUAAAGUCCUUAAUAACUCACCCAACUAGUCUAGUUAUCUUGUAAGUGGUCAACUUAGAGAAAAACACUGUAAUCACGUCGAUGAAAUGCCCAAUUUAACCAAUCGAAAUCAGAGUCUGAAAAUCAGGAUGCCACACACUCAAAACAAGGUCUAUUCAUACUGUCUGGACAACGCUGAAAUUACUAUGAUUAGCUUCCCAUAAGAUAUCUUCUUUAAUCUCUACAUCAUCAAUUACACACAAUUAUCCUCAGAACCUUAGCGUUCUGUUUUCAGAAAUCUGAAAAUCAACCUCUCUCUCAUCUGCAUACUCUUAUAGAGUCUCUUGAAUUUCUGAAUCUGUCCACUGAAGCGCUUUGAUUCUGAUCUGUACUCUCGGCUCAAUUUUGAGGGUAAUCAUAAGAUUCAAAAGGUGGCCUACCUUAGAUUUGAAAAUCAGAUUUCGAACUUUCUUAAAUAAGAUCCAAUCCAUGAGUACCAACUGUGCAACUAAGGACUCUCGACUCAAUGCAUCUGCGAAUUUGCUUACCUUUUCCAGAGUGAUACAAAAUAUCAUAGUCAUAAUCCUUAAUGAGUUCCAUCUAGCAAUGCUAUCUCAUAUUCAACUCCCGAGGUCUCAACUGACGGGACGCAUGUGCAACAACUCUAUCUUGCUGCAUCAAUAAGCAACCAAAUCCUUUAAACGACGCAUCACUGCAGAUCUCAUAACUUUCAGGACCAGAUGGAAUGAUCAGCACAGUGCGGUAGUUAGCCUCUUCUUAGGCCCUUGAAAAUUACGCUCGCACUCAUCUGUCCACACGAAUUUUUCUUACUUCCUCUCAGUAGUCGAAUCAACUACAACGCUAACACUGAAACCCCUUUCAUAAAACUUCUGUAAUAUCCUACUAAUCUUCAGAAACUUCUUAUCUCUAUCACUGUAGACAAUCUCGGCCAACUGUUCACUGCUUCAAUCUUAGACGGGGUCUACGGAGAUUUCUUUGCCUGAAAUCACGUGACCUAGGAAAGCAAUACGAGUCAUCCAAAACUCGCACUUGCUAAACUUAGCGUAAGAUUCAAGAGUCAUCAAGGUCUGAAGUACCAUCCUCAAAUGUCUCUCGUGCUCCUCAGCACUCUUUGAACACACUAGGGUAACUUCAAUGAAAAUGAUCACAACUGAUUUAAGUACCAUUAAACAUUCUGCUCAUUAGACCCGAACAAACAGCUAAGGUGUCCAUCAAACCACACGGCAUUACAGUGAACUCAUAAUUGCUGUAUCGAGCGCAAGAUGCUAACUUCGGUAUGUCUUUCUUCCUGAUCCUCAACUGAUGAUACCUUGAUCUCAAGUCGAUCUUGGAGAAUAUAGAUGUACAAAUACAACGAAUCAACUUUAUUCCUCACGAAUAGAACGGGUGCUCCCCAAGGUGAUGCACUGGAACGUAUGAAUCCCCUAUCCAACACUUCUUGCAUCUACACCUUCAGUCCUUUUAACUCAGGUAACGCCAUCCGGUAAGGAGCCUUAGGGACUGGCUCUGUUUCGGGUACUAAUUUCAUCACGAACUCCAUUUCUCUUUCUGAUAGCAAACCUAACAGUUCUUCAGAGAAUACCUUAGAAAACUUAUGUACCACGAUUAUGUCCUCCAUAUUCGGCCCCUCAAUUGACACAUCCAUUAUAGUUGCCAUGCAGAUUCGGUAACCAACAACCAGAACCUGGUCAUCUUCAGUGACGAAUAACAAGGAUUGAAGUUCCUUUUUGACUCUCAGUAAUUCAAAACUUUUGCACGCUAACUAAAUAAACUGAAUUAUAUCACUGCUACGAUUCAAAACAGCAGAAAGCUCCUCGAGUCAAACCUUUUCAUAAAUGACUUCCAAGUCAUACAUAAGCAAACCCAUCAGGUACAACUAUAGUCAAAUACUCAUCUUCCUAUUACUUUAUUACAACAAUGCAAACUCCACAACCUUCACUCAAAAUCCUGUUGCGUUACUCUGAUAAAACACCUCAAAACAUUCUUCCCUUGAUUAAUGCAUAGUCAAUCCAUUAUUAUUCCUUUCGCCAUCCUAGUGGCGUUCUAUCUGCAAUAACAGUGCUUACACUCUCCUGAACUUACACGGACAGUUCUUAACCUGACGGCCAUGCUGGUCACAUUCAAAGCAUGUUUCCCUUUUUACUCUGACACUGGGCUGACUCGAGCCUCCUUUCCACAAGCUCGGCACACAAUCAGAGAGUCCUCUACCUCCCAUCAAGUGACAUCAUGCACCCAUCCUUGCACUGAGGUCCAUUACAAGUACCUCACUAAAUGUCCCGAAGCAUGCUUCUUCUGUUCUGUCUUAUCAACGGCGGUGAUAGAAACAGCUGUGAUUCCAUCUGUCUAUACGGACAAUCUUUGAUCAAAUAACUGUACUGGCGACCCUUGUAACAAGUCCUGUCUCUCUUACAGCACGGAACAGAUCCCUGUCUUCUCUUACAGACACGACACACAUCGAUCGAGAUGAGUACUGACUUCUCAACUCUACUCUUCCGGUUGGGUGAAACAAGGCACCUUUCUUCUAACAUCGGACUUCCUCCCCAAUCGAUUUCCAUCUUUGUCUAAACUGAACCUUGACUCAGGUAUAGCGGCUUGAUCCUCGAUCACAGCUCCAGAUUAGGCCUCAACAGGCACAACAACAACAACGGUCACAACACUGGCAGCGGUAGAAACAACGGCAACAGCAGCGGCUCGGUCCUGAGCUUACUGACCCAACGAGCUUCUAAGGAACACUAGCGCCUGAACAAUCCCGACAAACCUAGGAUCAUUCGGUGCUGCUACACUCUCAGUACUGACUGACAGUGGUACUCUCACACUCGCGCUGGUUUGAGCCUGCGCACUACCUCGGGUACCAACCCUUGUCAGCGUCCUACCCUGAAGUACAGGUCCUAUCGACCUCCUCCAAGGAGUUCUCCACUCCUGGUCACUCAUGCUACAGACUCUAUAUAGACGCCUGUUUUCCAAUUCCAACACCAGGUUAGAAUCUGAGUGACCCCACAAACAUACUACCAAUCAACUAUCAACCACAUGCAUUAGCAUAUUAAAAGCCUUUCCUACUAACUAUCCCAUGACUCAUCGCACCUUAUCACUCCAUACACAGACCAUACUCUGAUACCACUUAAACGGGGAUGUCACGCCCCGAACCCCGAGAGCGCGCACAUCCCACUGCGGUCAAUCAAAUAUGCGACAUCCCAGGAUACGUCGCCAACCCAUUCAUUUUAUUACGCAUGCGGAAGUGAAACAAAUCCCCUGACAACAUUGAACUUGGGAUAGAAAAGCAGGCAAUCAAUCACAAUACCAAACACUCAUUUACAAACACAUAGGUUUAAAUACAACUCUGGAUUGUCUACAAAGUAGACCGGCUCGACAAAAUGGGAACUAUCCUAAAACCAACUAGCAUGACACGUUCACCGAUACUUCAGUCUCCACUUUUCCAGACUUAGGGCUUCGGGUCCUCCACGACCGCCAUCUAGGGACCUGGAAUUUUAAUCCCACAACUGGGAUGAGACGAUGUCUCAGCAAGUUCGACCCCCUAAACCCUUAUUAGAAAGAAAAUACGCCCAAGGGUGGCCUAGCCACAUCACACAGAGAACUUAUCUCACCUCAGUUCCUUCCUGCAGGUUAGCAAAAUUCAAAUCACCCAAUCAUAAAUAGUAAUAGGAACUCAAACAAUUGGAACGCCAUCACUUUCAUAUAAAUCACAAUCGCACUUAACACGCAUUCCAAUUAUUAUUCACUGCCACAUAAGGGCAUAGCCUACUCGCAGUUCGGCUAUCUACUGGCAUAUAGCCAGGCAUCGCCUCCCCCCAUUGAGCACGGCUUCGUCAGUACGUCGACGGCAUUCCCGAAGGAGCGUGGGCCCAGAAUCUACUGCGACCCGCAACCACCGCGUGGGCAUCCCAUAUAGGGGCAAGUCCGGCUCAACAGCCCAGGACGAUUCCUCUUAGUUAUCACACAGUCAAAGCAUACUUGGCCCCAGGACAAUUUAUAUUUCACUCAAUGCUUCAACUUAAAAUAGUGAUCCCGACCAUUUUUCUUUAUAUUAAAAAUAUUCCAGAAAUUACUCACGCGCGUGGGGACACGCUAAUUUCGAAUCAAAAAGCCAAUAUCUCACUUUUUCAAACCCCACUAUUUAAUAUAAUCAUUAAAAUCCAAUUUUUUGCAUCAAAACCCAACACUUGGAUUUUUAUGAAUAUAAUCCAUAUUUAUCACAAUCAACACUCAAUUUGCCACAUCCAUUCAUCAAAUUCAAAUUCUAAAUGCACAGCAGCGAUCAGCACGAAAUUCUGAGAAAAUAAGAUUCCAAAAUAAUUUUCAGAAUUUAUUAAAUAAUUAAAUUUAUUCCGAAAAUUAAUUAAAUAAUAAUAUCCCUAUCUUUCACGAUCCACACUCAAUUCAUAAUAUCCAAUUAUCAAUUUCAAAAUCCGACUAUACAGCAGCGGCCGGCACGAAAUUCUGAGAAUUUAGGGUCCCGACAAAAUUUUCGGAAUUUAAUAAAUAAUUAAAUUUAUUCCGAAAAUAAUUAAAUAAUAAUAUUUUAAUAAUUUCGAAUAAUAAUAUACUAUUAAAUUAUUUAAUGAUUUCGGAAUAUUUAAAUAAAUCAAAAGUAAAUUCCUUUAUGUCACAUCAAAGCUUAUAUUAAUGUAAUCACUCACUUAGCCUUAAAUUAAACACAAUUUAAGUUAAUCAAACACCUUAAUAUAAUCUACACUUAAAUAAAUUAAACUAACCACCUAAUAACACUUAACAUAAACUAAGCACCCCUAAAGCAUCAUCAACACUCUAAUCAAGGUUUAGUGAGUUAAACUCACUGGAUUAGCGAGCCGAGCGAACCAAAACGACGAGGACGACGCGAGGAUCGACUUUCCUCAAGGCGGGCCGAGCAUCCGGGCUCGGGAAGGCGGCCAAAACGGGCCAAACAUGGGCUGCCAUACCCAUUUUCUAGCUACUGAUUUGGGGCUGGAGGAGGCGGAUCCGGCGCCGAAAUGGGCGGAGGAGAGGGAAGGCAGCUCGGACGGAGCUCCGGCGAGGCUGACGGUGGCUGGAGGUGGCUGAGUCGUGGCCUAAACUGGCCGAACAGCUCCCUAGACGCAUGAGCAGAGACGGCCUGGCGUCGGCCGAGAGCGGGCGAGCGCGAGCAGUGGCGGAGCACGAGACGGCGAGCGGCGACGGCGACUUCGGCUGCGGUGCGCGGCGAUGAGGCCUCAACGGCGAGCUGGCUUCGUCGAUCUUCAACUUGUAGGGGCGUCGAACAGCAAGGGAAUGGAGGAGAGAGAUGGAGGUGCGAGCGGGUAGGGCGAGCGACGAGGCGAGGGGCUGCGACGGCGACGACGGCGAGCGAGCAGGUGGCCGGCCGGUCGGGCGGGCGAGCUGCUGGCGAGCUGCUGGUUUCCGUCGGUCUCUCCCUCCUCCCCAUUCAAGGAACAAACUCAAGGUUGAAGAUGAUGGAGAUGGGUUGGAGGUGACAUCCCACCUUUUGAAGAACAAAUCCCUACCCUCCAUUUGUCACGAUCUUAUGCACUCUUGCCCCCCACACCAUGACAUCAAUGUCAAGUGAUGUCAUACUCCACUAACUCUAUUCUCCACAACCUCUUCCAAUGGGUGCAUUUUAUUUUUCCGCCGGGGCAUAAAACUUUGUCUAUUAAUCUCUUUAAUUCCAUUCAAUUAUCUUCCAAUCGAGUCCAAUUGAAGUCCAUAAAAUUAAUCCAAUGUCACCACACUUCAAUUCACAUUUUCACUUGUCCAUAGAAUCAACUUAAGUCCCAAAAGUACGACCAAAAGCGGGCCUAUUAAUUUCUCAAGCCAAAUUAGCCAUUCUCCGAUUUAAUUUGCUGAAAAACUCUGAUUACAUGAAAAAUCUUCCGAAGAUAAGUCAAUGAUCCUGAAAUGAUUUGUGAUACCCUAUGACUUCCAAUUUCUGAAUUCGAUCUCAAUUUCACGGUUAAUUUCACUUUGGCACGAUACUAGCGCGGCCCAACCUACCGAGUAGCCUUUAGAAAUUUUCAUGCAUUUGACCUGUGGUUGAUCAUCUCAAGCCACAAUGUACAUCUUUGAAACAUUGACGACUUUCGGUUGUCGGGGUAAUCUCAAGGUUUCAGAUACGGACACAGGGUACCCAAUCGACAGAAAAGUUGGUCUAGUGCCGAUCGACAAGAAUUGUGCGAUCUGGUGGAAUCACCCACACUUGAUCACAUGCCUCUGUCGAGUCGACCUAUCUCCGAUCUCUAAUCGAUUUUUAAUUGUGCCGUAAUGACCCUUGCAGAUUAGCUCGGUCGAAAGGUCGCUUCAUAGUCAAAUUCUCGAGUCUAAUGCAUUAGCAACUCUUAACGGCUUCACCCGAUAGACUAGUUUUCACAUGAGUGGCCGACUCAAGAAAAAGAACUAUAUGCGUGCCAACGAAAUGCCCGUCUCAAUUUAUUGAAAAUAUGAUUGGAAAAUCGGGAUGUCACAACUGUCUCAUCGACUCUUUAGUCUCCCAUGUCGCUCCUUCAGUACCGUGGCGAGUCAGGAUUGCUUUCGAGUUUGGGAUCCACUACUGAUCCACCCUUAGGAUCUGCUAUGCCCUUCCCAAGCGUAACCUCCAAAACAUACCGAGGUACAUUAGAUUCCAGCACAAGACCCUCCCUUCCCCCGUCACGAUAGUGACAAUACCAUAACCGGUACCUAUGAGGCACCUUUUUGGGUUCACCCAUGUUGACCUAGAUAGUGGAUUUUAUCAUUACAUACUCCAAUUCUUCAGGGUGAGGGUGUAUCGGAAUAUGAUAAUCUAUUUCUGUGGCUUUCUCUGGUAUACCAAAAUGCACGGGAUGAGGGGGAGGUGCUGCCAUCUAGGGACUCGAAAUAUUGUCCCACAACGGGGUGAGACUACGUCUCAGCAAGUUCUACCCCCUAAAACCCGAAUAGGAAGCCAAUACGCCCUAAAGGCUACCUAAGCACAAACAGGCAUCAGAGAACUUACCUUGGCCUCAGUUCAUUCCUGCAAGUCAGUUCAAUUCAUAAAUGUUGACUAGUACAUCAUUCACUUAAUUCAAUCAGAUCGACUCAUCAAUCAAUCGACUCCGUCGAUUACAUGUCAUCGAGACCAUCACACGGUCACCUCAAUUAAUCAUUCUCAACCCUUAGCCACGGCCUAAUAGGCACAACCUUGAUUAAGUGGUAAUCACGGCCCCACUGGCAACUUUUCUAUAUUUGGUGGUCAUCAAGGCCCCACCUAGCAAUUUUCUAGGUUUAGUGGCAUCACGGCCCCACUCGACACUUUUCCUAGGUUUAGUGGCAUCACGGCCCCACUUGGCAAUUUCUUAGAUUUAUACCCACAUGAUCUAAUUUUUGGUAUAAAUCCUCAUAAUCUCAAAUUUCACUCAGUUACCACAAUCCGGUACUCAAUUAAAUAAACAGAGAGCACCACAGCAAUCAGCACGGAAUUCCAAUCACUGGCCAAUGCUUUUCAUGGUCCCACCCAAAGUCACUUUGAUUUCUCAAGUCAUAUAUCUGAUUAUACACCUUUUUCAAGUUUUUCAUUUUCGAUUCUAUGUGAGGAUUACCCUUGAUGCCAGAACAAGGGAACUUUUCUUCAAACCACUUCUCUAACAUAAUCAUGUAACCACUCUUGAAGUCGUUAUUGGCUUUCAUUCCUCACGUAACAAAUUCUUCAAGACCAUCUAGAAAUGCAUUUUCUUCAUCUAUUGUCCAUACAUGUCGAUCUCUCUUUGUUCCCCUUCCUUGAGUUUGACUGAAAUCGCUACCUUCCAUUUCUAAAGGAAAUCCUAUCCAACCUUAUCCUACUCCCCCUCAGAUUUUUUUAUCCGGUUUAUAUCCCUUCUAUAUCCGACUUUAUCCUAUCCUAGAUAGCUACCAAACACGGGAUAGGAUAAAACAUAUCCUAUCCUGGUUUUUAUUCGGUCAACCAAACGCAGCUUAAGAAAUGAGGAAAUUAAUAGGAUUUUUCGUUCGGGAGGUUAUAGGCGAUCUUCGUGUAUAUUGAAAAAGGAGAUAAAAUAUUCCGCAAAGAUUACAUACUUGGACUAUAAAAGGAGCCGUGUAUGGAGAGAGACAAGGGGCUUUUCUUGGUUUCUUUUGGGGUCUUUCGUUUCCUUCGUUCUUAAAAGAAAAGAGCAACAAAAAUAAAAGAAAAGCUUUCUUUUGGGGUUCUUUUUAGGGAAAAGGGGAAAAGUCAGUAGAAGGGCAGAAGGCGACAGAGAGAAAGUGACGUGAGAUAGAGAUGUCCGAGAGUAGGAAAAAAGAAAAAAAGAGAAAAAAGUAAAAAGAUGAACAACUAUUCAUCUUCUUCGUCAGUUCCCAUCCGGUGUCCUUAUUGCCCGUCUCUUCCGCGCUGCCACGGCUGCCAUGCUGUUGCCUCACUACGGCCACACCAGCGCGCUUCCAAACGCCACCACCAUCGCUGGUUGCAACGCCGUGUCUGCUCGUCAUCACCGUUCCCCCCUGUUGCUAAGUCGAGUUUCCUUGCCCGAGCAUCAAUGCUAGCAACUCGAGAUCUCGUGACUUACUUGCUGCUUCAUCUCUAUCCUUGCUUUGCUUCGCUUGCAGUGACCUAACGCCUCCGCUCGGAUGCUUGUCCCCUGCGUCCACCAUCGCUCUUGUAGCCGGACUCAACGCCUGCAGCGCCUUCGAGCCGUGACGCUAGAACUGGACGCCAAGCCACUGCACGACCCAAUGCCAACCGCCCGCUGCUGCUGCCUCCACCCCUAACUGCAAUGCAGCAACUGCUGUACCUCUACUCGACGCCAGCAGUGUGGCAUCCCAAAAUUUAGAGCCAAGCCAUAAGGUGUGUUAAAGUCUUUAAUUAGGUGAUAAAAAUUUCCAUGGCUUAUGCUUUAGCCAUUAGUCUUUUAUUUAAAUGAUUUGUGCAUAUGGUUGUGAAAAUUUAAAAUUGAUAGAUUAAUAAUCUAUGCUUGGCCAUAAGAUUUAUAAAUUAAAUUUCAAUAGACAAGAUGUCCCAAGACUUUGGCCAAGAUGAAAAUUGAAGUUGAAAAAUAUUUAUAGAAGAAAUUCAAAAAAAAAAAAAAGAAGAGGAAAAAGGGUUAAUUUUAGGAGCCUAAGCUUAAUGGGCCAAGUUAGUCGGCCCAAUUAGGCCCACUAAAGGGGGCUGUCGCCGGCCCAUUGGAGGCCCAAGGAGAAGUGGCCGGAUGGCCCAAAAGCCCAAGCCCAAGAGGUCCAAACUCAAUUCAAAAUCCAAUGUGACAAGUGGCAAAAGGGAAGGCCAUGCAUUGGCCAUGGUUGAGGUGAAACAAUCAUUACAAAUGAUGAGCUCUAGGGGGUAUAAGAAGGGAGAGAGAGAGGGUGACUGGCCAUUUUGUUCGCCCAAGGAGAGAGAGAGAGAGAGAGAGAGAGAGAGAGGUGUGCGAGAGAGGAGGAGCGGCCGAGAGAGAAAGGAAGGAGGGAGUCGCCGUCGCCGCCGUGUCCGUCCGCCGUACGCCGUCGUUUGUUCAUCCUAGAGGCAAGUGGAGUCCUCUAGCUUCUCUUGCAUGCUUGUAUGAUUGUUUGCAUGUUGGAUUUUGGGUGUUUUAAGUAAGAAAAACCGAGGUAAUGUUGGCUUGUUCUUAAGUCGUGUGACUAUUCUUGCUCGGAUUGUGUGAGUCAGUAACUUGUUUGAGCUUGCAUGUGUGUUUGGAGUCCGAUUUUGGCUUCGAUGUCUUCAUGAAAGUUGUAGCUAACACCUUGUACUAUAAAAUAAUGAAAUUUCGUGGAAAAUGAAGGAGAUUUGAGGGGUUAAAGUCGCAUCUUACGGACACCUCAGAUCUGGAGAGUUUUUACUAACCUUUUGCUGGAUUCAUGGUUGCAUGUUGGUUUUUGUUGAGAAUAUUACUUCGAUGUCUUCAUGAAAGUUGUAGGGAACAUCUUAAACUACAACAUACUCAAAUUUGAAGUUAAAAGAACAAGUAUAGCUUGGUAAAUCGACUAGAUCUUGAAAACGAUGAUUCUGGUGAUGUAUUUCGAGACACCCGAGACUUAAAGGACUAAAAUGAGGACUAUAAUCUGGUUAUUUGACCUAGAUAUCUUCAUGAAACUUAUAAAGGACACCUUGAUACAUAACAUAUCCAAAUUUCAGAGGAAACUAAAGAGAAUAGAUGGGUGAAAUCUUAAUAUUUCGGAGAUGGAGGCACUGGACGAUGCGGUAAUGGAUCCAGAAGCUUCGUGAGGUUGAAUAAAAUAAUAUAUAAGUAAUCUGACUUGGAGUUCUUCAUGAAAGUUGUACGAAAAUGUCUUGGAUAUAAUCCAGUAAAAUUUUAUAAUUUUUGGAGGCCAUAUGGAUAUUUUAAUUUAAUUUAUUCGGAAACCGUGCAUUCUGGUUUCAUCCGAGAAGCAUAGGAUGUUUUGGGAAAAUUAUGAGAUUUUGUAAAAAUUCAAUUUGGCCAUGAAUUUUGCAAGUAAUUAUCAUCCUAUGGGUUUGUUUAAUAAUUUCUUGAACUUUAAUAAUUUUGGGAAUUUAUAGUUAUUUAAAAAUAUAUAUAAAUAAAAUAAUAAAAUAAAUAAAUAAAUAAAUAAAUAAAUAAAUAAAUAAAAUGAAUAAAAAGGAAUUAUUUCAUUGGCCAUAGAUUUCAUUCAAUUAAUUCAUGUUACAUGUAAAUAAGCCUUGAUAUGUCUAUGAUAUUGAAUUGAGAUGCACAUGUGAAUAAAGCCUUGAUAUGUCUAUGAUAUUGAAUUGAGAUGCACAUGUGAUAAAGCCUUUAUAUGUCUAUGAUAUUGAAUUGAGAUGCAUAUGUGAUAAAGUCUUGGCAUAUGUAUGACAAUUGAAUCAAUGCAUGUGUGAAUGUCAUGCAUAGUAUGAUUUAUUUGAUAUCAUGCUAUGUGCCAUGUUAAAAUGUGAAUAAAAUACUGGUGAACAUGGAUGAUGGUAAAUGAGGAGAUGGUUGUGAUGGCGGAUGAUGCUCGGAAUGUAUAGAGAUACAUUGCCGAAAUUCCCUGGGAGAUUCAAGAUGCCCGGAAUGUGGGGGGCCGGGAAGCCCUGUCGGAGGUCUUUGCCCGAAGGGAAAUGCCUCGCGAUGCCAGGAUUGGNNNNNNNNNNNNNNNNNNNNNNNNNNNNNNNNNNNNNNNNNNNNNNNNNNNNNNNNNNNNNNNNNNNNNNNNNNNNNNNNNNNNNNNNNNNNNNNNNNNNNNNNNNNNNNNNNNNNNNNNNNNNNNNNNNNNNNNNNNNNNNNNNNNNNNNNNNNNNNNNNNNNNNNNNNNNNNNNNNNNNNNNNNNNNNNNNNNNNNNNNNNNNNNNNNNNNNNNNNNNNNNNNNNNNNNNNNNNNNNNNNNNNNNNNNNNNNNNNNNNNNNNNNNNNNNNNNNNNNNNNNNNNNNNNNNNNNNNNNNNNNNNNNNNNNNNNNNNNNNNNNNNNNNNNNNNNNNNNNNNNNNNNNNNNNNNNNNNNNNNNNNNNNNNNNNNNNNNNNNNNNNNNNNNNNNNNNNNNNNNNNNNNNNNNNNNNNNNNNNNNNNNNNNNNNNNNNNNNNNNNNNNNNNNNNNNNNNNNNNNNNNNNNNNNNNNNNNNNNNNNNNNNNNNNNNNNNNNNNNNNNNNNNNNNNNNNNNNNNNNNNNNNNNNNNNNNNNNNNNNNNNNNNNNNNNNNNNNNNNNNNNNNNNNNNNNNNNNNNNNNNNNNNNNNNNNNNNNNNNNNNNNNNNNNNNNNNNNNNNNNNNNNNNNNNNNNNNNNNNNNNNNNNNNNNNNNNNNNNNNNNNNNNNNNNNNNNNNNNNNNNNNNNNNNNNNNNNNNNNNNNNNNNNNNNNNNNNNNNNNNNNNNNNNNNNNNNNNNNNNNNNNNNNNNNNNNNNNNNNNNNNNNNNNNNNNNNNNNNNNNNNNNNNNNNNNNNNNNNNNNNNNNNNNNNNNNNNNNNNNNNNNNNNNNNNNNNNNNNNNNNNNNNNNNNNNNNNNNNNNNNNNNNNNNNNNNNNNNNNNNNNNNNNNNNNNNNNNNNNNNNNNNNNNNNNNNNNNNNNNNNNNNNNNNNNNNNNNNNNNNNNNNNNNNNNNNNNNNNNNNNNNNNNNNNNNNNNNNNNNNCCCAUGGGAGAAGCUCGUCUGAUGAUGAUGAUGAUGAUGAUGAUGAUGAUGAUGAUAUGAUAUGCAUGAUGAUAUGCAUGAUGAUGAUAAUGAUAUGUGAUUGAAAUAACGAUGAUCACCCAUGAUGAUAUGAUAUGCAUGAUGAUAUGCAUGAUGACGAUGAUGAUGAUGAUAUGCACGAUGGUAUAUGAUGACAUGUGUAAUGUGAUGAUGUCAUGAUGAUGAUGACAUGUAUGAUACGAUGAUGAUACACAUGUAUGUGUUAUAAAUUGAUAUGAUGAUGCAUGAUAAUAUGCGCAUGGCUUCAAGGUAAAUUACGCCUACAAUGCAUGUAUGAUUUGCCUGAUGCAUUGAGUUGUUAUUGGAUUUCCCUAUUUGCUGAGUGGUUGUACUCACCCUUUUUAGGGAUAACAUUUCAGAUUAGCGAGUAUGCCGCUUCCUACCGUCACGCGAGGUACAUUUUACGGGUUAUCGUCCGACGUUGAGGUAGAGUGUGAGGAGUUCGGCUGUCCUUCCGUGCCUGGACUCACCUACAUUCGCGUACGCUGUCUUGUCAUGUAUGACAUAGGCCUGGCUGGGGGCCCAGUCGUUCAUGAGUUUGUUUCUGUUCACGUUCGCCGCGAUGGGGUGAUGGGAGGGAUGCUGCCACCGCCACCGCCUGACGCAUCGGACUGGGUGUGAGACCUGAGCGUGACGAGUAGGGGCUGUGUUUUUUUGGGAGUUAGUUAGCCGACACUUAUGAUGGGGGGGAUUGUACACGUGUGAUGUAGAGGGUCGAGGGUUCUUUUUGAGGUUUUAGGCUGGACAUGGCUGAGUCCUAGCUUUUCCUUUUGAUGUACCGACCCAAGAGUAGUCCCAUCCUGAAAAUAUAUGUAAAUAAAGUGUCGUGGCAUGUUUAUAAAAAUCCUGAUGUUUAGUGGUGUGUAUUUAUAUCAUGGUUGAUAGGGGGAGAGACGUGAUAUUUAAUUUGCUUCCGCUAAUGAGUCGCGCUGGGACCGUUUUGUUAUAAAAAAAAAAUGUGUCUAUGAAUUACGAUGCAUCUUCUAAGGAGAAAGGUAAUAAGGAGUAACAUUGGCGCUGGUGACGACCUACGAAGGGUUCGGGGUGUCACAAGCAGGUCCUGAACUGAAUGUUGGCCCCCUUGCACACCGCUCCGAGCCCUCUCCGAGCGACGCCACUGCAAUAUCCGUGACUCCGAUCGCCCUUGUUGCCAUGUCCAAUGACCACGCCUACAGCACCUCAGAGUGAUGUCUGUAGCAACUCUCCGCCGAUCCUCACUGGAGCUCCAACGACCCACCAUCACGGCAACCCAUCCUUGAGCCAUACCGAGCCCCGUCGCAAUCCACGAGCCACCGGUUGUUAAAUCUCGUUUGGAAGAAAAUUCAAAUUAGGUAGUUUUUUAUUUUAUGUUAUUUAUUUAUUUUAUUAUAUUAUUUCUUUAUCCGAAGUAUUCCUUAAUGUAUCCAAUUGAAAUCCUUGACUGAUAUUCACAAUUCGAGCAACCUUUUAAAUUAGGGAUUGACAGUCCCAUUUCCGCACCUCAAAUCUGACUUGCAAUCGCAUGAAAAAUCGCUAAUCAAAUCUCACGCUCGAGAUUCGAUUCGCCAUUUUAUUUAAAAUUGACCAAUCCGAUCCCAUGUACGGGAUAUGAUUCGUCAAUCUAUGGAUAUCGAUCUUAUCUUGCCGAUUGAUGUCAUGUCAUUUGAUCGAUUUUGUUUUCGUAAAAGAAAAUCCAAAAAUUUUGAGUUAGAUUAGGUUUGUCGUUUUAGGGUUAUUUUGCAUAGGGAAUUUAUUUAUUUCGAUUUUUUGAAAAAAUAAAAAUCCAAAAAAAUGCAUUCACUUAGGAUGUUAGUUUUUUUUUUUUUUAAAUUGCACGUUUAAUUAUGUGUCAAUUUUAAUUUCGAAUUUCAUAGAAAAACAAAAAGAAAAAAAUUAGAAUUAGGGCAUUCUUUGCACGUCAUUGCAUAUUAGGAUAAGAUUGCAUGUUUAAUUUUUAAGUUUAGAUAUUUUUUCCUCGAUAGAUUGCAUUUUAGGUUAGAGAUGACAUCCUAGUUUAAAUUAAGAUUUGACCUAACCUAAAUCUUAAUAUAAGUUGGAUGAUAUCUUAAUUUGGAUAGAUAAUUUUUUCAAUUUUCUAAUUUUGAAUUUCAUGGAAAAUACCAAAAAAAUUGUCUUUGAAUAAAUUAAUUUCAUUCUCUAGGAUAGGUCACAUGCUCAUUAAGAAAACACAAAAUAUUUCACUUACGUCAUAUAUUUUAGGUCAUAUUGCCAUGUUGUAUCAUUUCAUGUUGGAUUAGUAACAUUGCAUUGCAUAAUACAUGAUUCUCAUUAAAUAAGUGAGUGUGUGUUAAUUAGAAAUCAUAUCUAGGACUGUUGAUGUGAAUUCUGAUCUAACAUCGCAGAUGCUUUCGAUACCAUGGGGUAAGUCCUACAAUUUAUUCACCGUGCUAUUUGGGUGUUAAAUUGGUGAUUUGCACACCCGCGUGAUAACUUCACAUAUUAGGGAAGUAAAUUAAAAUCAAUUCAAGCUACUUGCCAAACAUUUUUUUUCAAAAUAAAAGAGAAAAAUACCGAAAGGGCGUUAAAAAAAUCUAGCGUAAUUAAGUCCCCGAACUCAUAAAUCUCUGGUUCGUAAGAGUAAAGUAAAUCUCCCAUUACUUUACUUAUGUUUCUAAUCGACCCACCAAAAAUAAAUUAAUAGCGAUUCCUAAUUGAAUAAUCAUUUGCAUGUUAAGAACUCAAACCUAAGUCGUGAAUUGAUAUGGGCUUGGGAGAACCUGAGCUAAGUUUAGGCUUAGUAUUCCAUUAGCCAAACUCUAGGUGGUUCACCCCGAGGUCAGGUCACGACAGUUCCUCGAGGGGAAGGGGGGACAUUUUCCACUGCUAUCUUCCAUAAACGAAGCUCCAAAGCGUGAAUCCAACAACAAAGCCAUAUGGUAACUGUGAAUAUAUCUAAUAUGCACGUUUGAGUAAUAGGUAAUAUUCAUUAGGAUUUGUUUCCUCAUCCACAACCGAACAUUGAUUUUUUUGUUGCUUUUGACGGAAUAAUUAAUCGCACAGGAGUCUUAAAAAGUGAUGUUUUGAUCUUUAAGGAUUGAGAUCAACUUAUCGAUUUUAUCUGUGAAAUAAUCAAGUUGAUUAAAUAUUGUCCUAAUUUGAAAUGUGGAUGAUAUCUUUAGCGAUUUGAUGAUAUUUUGUGAUUUAGGUGAUUAUAUUACUUUAUCUACUUUCCUUACCCUGAUAAAUACAAAAGGAUUGCUUUGCAUAUUGUAACAUCCUCAACUUCGAGCCUUUUACAUGGUAAAAGAGAAGUCCGAACUUGGUUUCAUUAGUUGAGCUCGGUUGUGUCUGCUUCCUCUUAUCGUGUCUUAGGCACGAAUCUUGGGCCAAAUGAGAUAGUCGAUUGUGGUCAAACUUGAUUAGUCCCUGCCUAAUGAUAAAGCCUUCAAAACUGAGAUAUUCCAAGUUGUAUUUAAUGCCCUCAUCUUGUAGUUAAUUAAGGAGCAUCGACUAAGAUGGACAUGUGGCACAUUAGGCCUUAGCCUCAUAAGACAAGUAUGAAGCUUGGACUAGUCAAACUUUCUUAGAAAAACAAGUGUAACAAAUGUGAAUUCAUGUGAACGUAUUAAAUGAUGGGGUGCAAAGGAUGUCCCUAUAGCCUAGGCCUAAUCAUACCCUAAAUACCUAAGUGUGAAUUGUGGACUUUGGAGCCCAUGAGGAAACAAUCACGCACCCAAGAGGAAAAGAGAGAGGAGGCAAGUCAAGUUCAAACUUCGAACUCAAGAUAAGUUCACAUUAAUAUCUCUUGGAAUUUAGCCAUUCAAUGAGCAAGAUGAAGUGUCAAAGCUAUCCUAGGACCUAGUUGGAAACUUGGAGGAUAAGGAUGUCCAAUAAUUAAUGCUUCUUGACCAAGUAGGGCGCCCCCUCUGUCCAAUUAGAUAUACAACCCAAAGAAAAAAAAAUUGUAUGUAAUUGUGUUAAUUAGAAACAUAUAUCUAGGUUGAAUUUGUGAUUAUUCUAAUUAACAUUACAGAUGCUCCCGUUGCUUUAAAGUAAGUACUUCUUUUAUAUCUUUGCAAUUUGUUUGUUGUUUUGAUUGUCGGGUUUUUCAUUAAGGGUUGCGCACCCGUAUAAUCACUUCACAUGUCUUUAAUCUGCCUAUCAAACUUUUGAAUGAAAGAGAAAGGUAUUGAAAGAGCGUUAGAGUAACCUAGCCCAAGUCAUCAAAUUCGUAAUCGCUGGUUCGUAGAAGUAAAUCAAUUCUCUCAUACUUGGGUAUCUAAUUGACACACAAAAAACCGACUCGUGGUGAUUCCUUGACAAAAAUCAUUUGCAUGUUAAAUCACUUGAACCUAAGUUGCAAAUUGAUAUAGGGCUAGGAGAGCUCGAGUUAAGUAUAGGCUUAAUAAUCCAUUAGUUAAAUCCCUAAUUGAAGCACUUGAGGUAAGGUCAUGACAAAUGGUCGUAAUUAAGUUCUAACACUAAAAUCUCCAAUAUUCAAUUAGAUUAGGCAGGUUUGAUAGGACUGGUCAUUUAUACUUAAGAAGAUUUUACUUAAUUUAAAACUCAGUUUGAAUAUUCAGUAAAGAAGGGAUCACCUAAUUGGUUCAAUGUAAAAAAACAACGAGAGAAAUUAAAAAUCUUCCAAUUUAUGUGAGUAAAAUAUUUUAUUACUUUAAUAUUGCUCAGUUGUCUAUCUUCAACAAGAAACUAAUGACUGCUAAGGUUCUUCAAUUUUCAAAUAUUACCACACAGAAUUUUCAUUUCAUUUUCAGCCUUAAAGAAUCAUGUGCCAAGUGACAUGGGAGUAAUGUGAUAUGAUAAUUUCGUUGAAAAUUUCAUCGAAAAUAAAAACCGAGUAAAGGUCAAUAAAAAUCUGAGAAAACUGUUUCAAACCCUCUUUAGUUUUUUAAAUAUAUUUUGAACGUACGAAGUCCAAAAAAUCUGAAAUUAAAGUAUGUUAUAGAACAAAGUAUAAUGAGAAACUUUUUUUGAAGAAUCCCUCACAAAACUCAUACCACAAAAAACGAGUAUAAAAUUGGAAAAAGUACAAUCUACAGUAAACCGAAACAAAAAUAGCAGUAUCCUCGGUUUUGUCCUUGACUUGUGCCAUUUAAGCUCAAAGCAACAUAAAUCUCAACAUUUAGUACUUCAACAACUUAGUGAACUCAAUAAACCAUCAUUUCAACAAUGCUCGCGAUGGACGUUUGCUGAAAUCGCCAACUAACAUGACUAUGUACGAAAUCAACCAAGACGACUAAAAUCUGAGGAAUCAACCUUCGCGCAUGGCAAUCAACCUACGUAACAUAAAAAGGAAGGCAAAUUACUUGCCCGAGUCCUAGGUGAGUGUCAUUGCGGUUUGGUGAGGUCUCGGAAGUUUGAGGCUGUGGCUGGCAUUGUGUGUAUUUGACAUUGAACGAGUGAAAGAAAGAACGACAAUUCAUGGUUGAAUCAGCAUACAAAACCACAUCAAAAUCAAAUGGUUAUGACGACAAAGAAAGAGUUGAAGCUCUAAUUUCACUUUUGGGUGAAAAAACUAGAGAUACUUGCCCUUCUUUGUCAUGAGUCUAUUAAGUUUACAUCAAAUGUCGAAUCUACACAAGAUGCAAUUGCGGAAAAUCUCCUCUCGUCUUCUUACGAAUCUGACCUUUGUUUAAAAACUCGAGGUUGGAAGAUCAUUAUAAUGGUAAAGGUUUUGAUGAAUUCAUCUGCGAAGUGCAUUUGAACGUUACUAUAUCCAUCAGACGAUUUCUUUUGGGGAUCAUGUUAUUCAGGUGAUUAACCAAACAAGAAAGAGAUCCUAGAAUAGUAAGGUUUCAUAUUUCACUACUUUGAUAAGUCACCAAUCUACUAACUAUCCCAUCAAAUAAGUCGAAGAUUCGUUAGACUACGAAACCUCAUUUUGCCGUGAUGUGAUAUAUUUCCGAUGUGAAUAAAAAAGUACCAAAUGAAUGAUUGAGUAUUCCUUCAGCUGUUGAGAUAUAUCAUUGUGUAUGAAAGAUGCCCAAUGGGUUCAAGGCAUAACAUCGGUAAUGCUAUGUAAGCUUUUGUUUACCAAGGGUUUGAAUCCCUCUAUUUACACACCUUGAAGUAAUUUACCAUUGAUACUAAUCACAAUGUAUCAAAGAAAAGCACAUACCCUAAUUCCAAAGGUUAAAACUUUCUUUGAUAUGUAUCCCCUAUUUCCAAGUCCCCAAUCGAAAAUUCUAGCUCGAAGAAAUAAAAUAACCUGGUGCAAUUUAAUUUUCCUUAAAUUGACCUCUUAUGGGUUAGUCGCAACUUAUGAAUAAAAUCUUAUGUUCAUGAUUGACUGGGGAACGAUUGUGAUUUAUAGGGCUCGGGUGAAUCGUAGCCAAGCAUAAGCAUCAUCUUGCAAGAGAAAUCGUUCAUAUUCCCAUGGCCAUAUGUUAACUCAUAUCAUGAGAACAUUUGGCAUUUUGCCCAUGGUAAGGGUCGUGAUAAUUGUACUUCCCCUAUAAUAGAUGCAAAUCAAGCAAUCACGAGAUAAUUAGUUUUUUUUAUUUUUUUUAUGGAUCUCGAGUAAUUUUUCAUGUAGAAAAAACAAAGAAGUAAAUUUAAACGCAAUUUCGUCCUUUUAAGGAUUAGUAAUUCUGGUCAAUGAUUUGGGAACACCAUAUGGUUUUUUUAUGGAAUCAAUUUUCGGAAAUUUUGAAUGCAAAUAAAAUUUCUCUGUUUUUUUUUUUUUUUUGUGUGUUUGGUGCUCUUUUUUUUUUUGUUGGGUGGGGGGGGGGGGUGAUUUACAUAAUCCAACGAUGGUCUGUGCUCGUUAGAAAACGAACGGUGCAGAUGUGCCGAGCACGACGAUCGAGGGGCACUCUCGGUUUCUAGGGUUUUCUAUACCUAUAUUGCGGUUUCUUCCUCCUCUCUAUCUUCCCUCUUCCUUAUUUCCUCUCGCCGUAUCCCACCUCUCCAAAUUUCCAUGCGAACGAGAUCGAGAUCGAGGGAGAAGAACUCGAGCGGGCAGUUGAAGCCGGGCCAUGGGAGUUUUGCUGUAACCGGAGUCGAGGGCGUGUGACCAGGGGCUGAAGGAACAUAUCGACGCCAGAGAUUAGCAACUGGACCGGAACUUCAGUCCUCCUCAUUGUACGUUGUCUUUUGCCCUCGUUAUGCAAUUGCAUGCCUGUCUGAAUUUUCUGUUGCAACUCGUGACGCUCUAUUAUAGGAUUUUUCUACUUAAAUUUCCAGAUCUUCUAUAUCUGUAAGAAACAUAAGACACUUAAAUCGUUUAAUCGGCCAAAUAUGGAACAGAAAAUAAGCAAUAAUCAUGUCUGGUCUUGUUUCUGGAGCUUUUUCCCGCAAGGCGUUCUCUAUCAAAUAAGAUGAUUAACGUUCCCGUUGAGCAAAGAGCGAAGAUUUUUAUUGGUUUAUCGACGCCAAGCUACAUAAUUGGCUUGACUGAUGGCUUCCACUUCAAUCGUUCUCAACUCCAACUGGGGUUGAAAGCCUUUGGUCAAGCCAAGCCAUACUAGAUGCGGGCAAACUGGAUAGUUUACCGUCCAUCGUUACAAUUGAUUGGCAUUAAUAGAAAUCAAGCAAAUUGAAGAACUUGAGGGUGCAGCUGAGCCGGGGCCACGAAAUAAUGUUGAGAGAGAAUCUUAGAUGUAGCAGCAAAUUAUGUGAUGUUAGGAGUUUGGAAACUUCCAAAUAAUCAAAUUGGACAAUUACGUUGGGUUUUGGUAAGCUUGACUUAAAAUUUCACUUUUCAUGCUCACUUCACCAUCUUUUAUCCUUACAAAUCUCCAAUUCCGUGUCCCUUUUUUUCAUUAUGAAUCUAUGAUUUCACAUAUAGGUUCAUAUAGGCUGAAAUUUUGAGUUGGUAGAACAAUUUGCUGCAUCCGAGUCAUUCGCAGAAAAACUAAGCCGGGCUUGUGUAUAAGAAGCAAACGACAGAACAAUAGUUUUUAAUCUGAAGAGCAAAAUUUGAGGAUUGUUUCCUGUCUUUUCAAAAGAAGUUCCCAGGGUCUUGCUUGUUGGUACCCAGUCACUUGAAACAUAUCUGUUCACUCUUCUGUGAGUUACAGGCGAAAUGCCGAGUGCGACAUUUAAAUUGUGGGAGCUUGUUGAGUUUCCGCCUAAUAAAUUGUUGUUGAUUUGUCUGACAUGCCAUGCCCACUGAAUAACCCAAUGCAGAGGAUUUUUCUAACAUGCCACGCCCACUGAAUGCAGAAGAGGAAGAACCCAAUACAGAGGUUCCCCAAGGUAUGUGUAUCUCCCAAUUCCCCUUUUGUAAAAGCUCGUGCAGGAUGCUUAAUUUGUCUUCUAAUCUUCACCUAAUAAUAGGGGUAUAGGCAGGACCUCAGAUUUCUGAUAGUUAUAGAAAAACACAAAAUAAACAUGAAUAGGAAGAGAGGAGCUUAGGAGUCGGUCAUUGACGAUUAAUAGAUCUUUGAAAAUGGUCAGAACGAUACUCCUAAGUGUGAAAUUUAAAUUUUGAAAAGCAAUGGCUCUCUAUCCCCUUAGAUCACCUACAUAAAGAGCAUUUGCUUUCUUAAAACAGAAGCAAUUUAUGGUUUUCAAUCUGAAGAGCACAGUUUGAAAUCUGUCUCCCUUGUAUUUUAUAUAAGAAAGCCUCCAUCCGUUUACCCUUUCGUGGGAUGCAGGGGAAAUGCCGAGAGCAUUGGAUCCACUUUCAGUUGUUGAGGUUCUGCCUAAUAACAAGCGGAAGUGUAACUUCUGCGAGAAUGAGUACGUUGGAGACACGAAGAGGAUCAAGGCGCAGUUUGCUGGGGUAGGAGGAUGUGGAAUUCUUGGCUGUAAGGUCUUCAAUGACCGAGUGAGAUCAGAAGCACCAGAGGUGCUGAAGGGUGAAAGAGCAGUGGAAUCGAGCAAGAGACAAGGCAAUGAUGAAGGUUCAUCCAACCUCACACAGAGUUCGCAUCAGUCCUUGACUGUGGGCAGUGAAGUUGCUCGGUGUAAGACUUCAUUUGUUGCCAUGCCGUACCUGAGCUAUGGUGCAGGUUCGUCAGCCUUUCUUCCAUCGGCUGAGACGAAUUUUCCCAAUCAGUCUGGUUCUGCUUUAACCAACAUACCACGCCCGCUGAAUGCCAAAGAGGGAGAACUCAAUACAGAGGUUCCACAUGGUAUGUGUGCAUCUCUAAAUUUCAUCUCUAAAUUUGGCAUACGUUGAAGCUUGUGCAGGCCGCCUUAUUUGUCUUCUAAUCUUCACCUAAGAAAAGUGAUACAGGUAUAGAGAAACUGAAAAUGGUCAGGAAUUAAUAGGACAAGAGGAGUUUUAGAGUCGGUCAUUGAUAAUCACUAGAUCUUUGAAAACGAAAAGACAAAUGUUUUGAAGUGUGGCCUUCAAAUCUUGAAAAGCCAUGGCUCUCCCUGUCCCCUCCGAUCUGCUACAUGAGCAUUGGCUUAUAUGGUUAAAUUAUUUAUCAAAGAUAAUUCCCAUGACUUUUAAUUUUAAAUCAAUUCUUUUCCAAUGAAGAGCUCAUGAUAUGGAGUCGCCAGUAUUUCACUAUCGUGACAUCAAUGCCUACAAUACAUAAUAAUUAUCGUAUCGAAUGUUGCAUGUAAUAUUUUUGUUCGAAAAAGUGAAUACAAAGUUACAAUUUUUUAUUUCCAUGAGUGUAACAUACCAAUAAAGAAUAUCUAAGGAGUACCCAAUAGUGAAUUUUCACUUAUAAUUGUGUUUAGGUGCGAGACCGCAUCUUGGACUGGCUAAGAGUCAACGAGGUACCCGUGGGCUUGCCGACGCGAAUAUGAUGUCUCUCAAAAGAAAGCUGGAAGAACUCAUCAGCAGUCGCCAAGCAGACAUGAACAAGCUAAAGUCGAAGUGGAUGAGGAUAGAAGAGCAAUAUUGGAGUGUAGCGCGGGCAAUUAGAGAAGGAAUAUCUUUUCCACCGGAGAAAGUAGUAGAGGUGGAAGGGUUGAGAAAAGAAGUUGAACAGAUUCUUCUGGUUCCAGGAAGAUUUCGGCAAGAGGCGAUGGCACUUGCUAGAUUUAGCAAACCAUCUCCCUCGGUGACAAUAGAAAAAUUAUUAGGCAAAGAAACUCGACGGAAGGUGAAUGAGAUGUUUUUCACUAUAUUGCGGAAUGAGUCUUUCAUACUCGGUGUUUAUGGUAUGGGUGGAGUGGGCAAGACGGCCAUUUUGAAGCAUGUCUAUAUUAGUCUACUUGCUUAUCUUCCGUCAUAUGUAUUCUGGAUUGCUGUACCUCAGGAUUAUAGUGUUUAUGCGCUACAAGAAGAGAUUGCCAAUGCGGUUGGACUAGACAAUCUUUCGAAUGAGAGGGACGUGAAGAGAAGGGCGGGCCUAUUGUAUGGACAUCUGAAUUCAAAGAAGGGAUGCAUCCUAAUUUUAGAUGGCCUUUGGAAGGCCUUUGAAGUUAAGGAUGUGGGUAUUCCAGUCGAAACGGGCAAACUAAAGUUGAUAGUGACAACUCGAUCACCAGAUGUGUGUCGUAUGAUGCUUUGCCAAAAGCAAAUUAAGAUAGAGCUUCUCGAUAUGGAAGAUUCUUGGAGGUUAUUUUUAAAGACGCUUUGCUUUGCAGGAGAACUCCCUCGGGAAGUUGAACAAAUUGCAAGGUCUCUUCUUGAUAGGUGUUGUGGUCUACCACUUGGGAUCAUUGAGAUUGCAACUCGCAUGAGAGGGGUAGAGAAAGAGUGUGACUGGAGAGACAUGUUGGGAAAUUUAGAAGAGUCCAGGAUGGAGCUUGACGUGUUCAAGAGUCUGCAGCUCAGUUACUCGAGCUUGGGUAAUGAACAAGUGCAACAGUGUUUCCUGCAUUCAAUGCUUUGUUCUGGAAAUCUCCUUUCAGAAGCUGACAGAGAGUAUUUGAUAGAGUCUUUUAUAGAAGAAGGUUUGUUAGGUGGAAUUGCCACCAGGCAAGGACUGUACGAUCAGGGUAACGAUAUAUUGGAUAAAAUAGAAGGGGCCGGGCUGUUGGAUCCUGAAAAAGGGCAUCGGUNNNNNNNNNNNNNNNNNNNNNNNNNNNNNNNNNNNNNNNNNNNNNNNNNNNNNNNNNNNNNNNNNNNNNNNNNNNNNNNNNNNNNNNNNNNNNNNNNNNNNNNNNNNNNNNNNNNNNNNNNNNNNNNNNNNNNNNNNNNNNNNNNNNNNNNNNNNNNNNNNNNNNNNNNNNNNNNNNNNNNNNNNNNNNNNNNNNNNNNNNNNNNNNNNNNNNNNNNNNNNNNNNNNNNNNNNNNNNNNNNNNNNNNNNNNNNNNNNNNNNNNNNNNNNNNNNNNNNNNNNNNNNNNNNNNNNNNNNNNNNNNNNNNNNNNNNNNNNNNNNNNNNNNNNNNNNNNNNNNNNNNNNNNNNNNNNNNNNNNNNNNNNNNNNNNNNNNNNNNUUAUGUUGGAAGUUGGGAUCCCUAAGAAAGUUGGACCUCAAAGGGUGCGAAAGUCUUGAAGAAGUGCCAGAGGGUAUGGAGAUGUUGGCAAACCUGAGGUACCUCGCCCUAGAUGGCACAGAGAUAGAGACAUUACCGGAGGGAGUGUUGGGGAAGCUGGUGAAUUUGCAAUAUCUCACGAUUAAAAAGCUAAGGGCAGGAGAAGAGGUAAAAUUACCGAAGGUGGAGGAACUUCAUUGUUCUGUUUCCAAUGUGGAAACGUUCAAUGCAUGUGUGGGGUCUCUCGAGCGAAAUAGUUGCCAACAGUACAGGCUCGUGAUGGGUGCACCAGAAAAUUUCAGCCUUUGGUGUGGGAGGAAGAGUGAGAGGUCUUUACUCAUUGAUAGUUGCAACCAUAUUGCUGCGAGUAUAGAUGGAACAAGUGGUGAUGGCUACGCUCUGCUUCCAGAAAGUGUGCAAUCAUUGGAAUUGUCCGGGUGUCAUGAAAUGAAGAGAGUGAUGGAAUGGGAGUGGCCGACCACUCUCCUUCCAAAUCUGAAGGAGAUUAUAACGAAGAGUUGUGAGAACUUAGAGGAGAUAAUACGUGGCCCAUUGCCGAGCGGAGCCACUUGUUGCCUUACAUAUCUUGAAGUAAAUUGUUGCAACAACAUGAAAGAGGGUGCUGCUGACGCAAGACAUGGUGCUCCACCUCCCUUUCCUCCAAGAGAUAUUAGUCAAAGACUGCAGGGCAUAGAGGUGAUAAUGGACACUGUUGCCAAAAUGACGCACUUUUCCUUCCCGAANNNNNNNNNNNNNNNNNNNNNNNNNNNNNNNNNNNNNNNNNNNNNNNNNNNNNNNNNNNNNNNNNNNNNNNNNNNNNNNNNNNNNNNNNNNNNNNNNNNNNNNNNNNNNNNNNNNNNNNNNNNNNNNNNNNNNNNNNNNNNNNNNNNNNNNNNNNNNNNNNNNNNNNNNNNNNNNNNNNNNNNNNNNNNNNNNNNNNNNNNNNNNNNNNNNNNNNNNNNNNNNNNNNNNNNNNNNNNNNNNNNNNNNNNNNNNNNNNNNNNNNNNNNNNNNNNNNNNNNNNNNNNNNNNNNNNNNNNNNNNNNNNNNNNNNNNNNNNNNNNNNNNNNNNNNNNNNNNNNNNNNNNNNNNNNNNNNNNNNNNNNNNNNNNNNNNNNNNNNNNNNNNNNNNNNNNNNNNNNNNNNNNNNNNNNNNNNNNNNNNNNNNNNNNNNNNNNNNNNNNNNNNNNNNNNNNNNNNNNNNNNNNNNNNNNNNNNNNNNNNNNNNNNNNNNNNNNNNNNNNNNNNNNNNNNNNNNNNNNNNNNNNNNNNNNNNNNNNNNNNNNNNNNNNNNNNNNNNNNNNNNNNNNNNNNNNNNNNNNNNNNNNNNNNNNNNNNNNNNNNNNNNNNNNNNNNNNNNNNNNNNNNNNNNNNNNNNNNNNNNNNNNNNNNNNNNNNNNNNNNNNNNNNNNNNNNNNNNNNNNNNNNNNNNNNNNNNNNNNNNNNNNAAACGAUCACGACAUAGAGAUAAGAAAUGAUUAGUGGCUGCAGAAUUCUCGUACAAUAAAAUUGAAAUUCAUCAUGACAUCCUUGUCGGAAGGAUGCUAAAGCCUAGUAAAAGUAGAAUUUGAUUGGGAAUUUUCUACUUUAUUGGUUGGGAUAGUUUCAGAGAGCAUGUUAAAUGCCUUUUACGUUUCCUUUUUGUUGUCUUUUCUAUUUUACCUCAUUCGGUACUUCUAUUUGCACUUUCAAGU